rnacentral:lncRNA from 1 species
GUUUGACUUGGGAGCUGGAAAGUAAGAUGAGGGACUCUUAUCCUGAGUUGUUUGUUUGAGGUAAGAUUUCGAGGACGAAAUUCAGUAAUUUGGGGAGAGUUGUAACACUCUAAUUUUUUUAUUUAAUUAUUUUUAAUUGUGUGGUGUCAUUAUGUGAUUUUUGGUGAUUAUUGUAGUGUAUAUAUAUUUAUUAUAUGAUUAUUUUAUUAAAUAAUUAAAAUAGGAGUAAAAUAUGAUUAAUUAGAAUUAUUUAGGAGGAUAAGGAUUAAUUGGAAAUUAAUAGUGAUUAGGAGGGGUUUAAUGAAAAAUAGGAGUUACACUUUGAAGGAAUAAGGAAAGAAAAAUAGAGAAAAACAGUUUAACCGGGUACCGAGAAUGGANUUGGUAUCCACUNNNNNNNNNNNNNNNNNNNNNNNNNNNNNNNNNNNNNNNNNNNNNNNNNNNNNNNNNNNNNNNNNNNNNNNNNNNNNNNNNNNNNNNNNNNNNNNNNNNNAAACCCAACUUGGACGCAUCACAAUAUACCACAAAAGGUUCUUCGGGCUUCGGCAAAAUCAAAACUGGAGCAAUCGUCAGACGUUUCUUCAAUUCACCGAAACUCCUCUCACAAUGAACGUCCCACACAAAGGUCUUACCUUUACAAGUCAACUGUGUAAGCGGAAGAGCUAACUUAGAAAAUCCUUCAAUAAAUCUUCUAUAGUAACCAGCUAAACCCAAAAAGCUUCUAAUCUCACUAACGGACUUAGGAGUAUCCCAUCGUGAUACAGCUUCGACUUUAGACGGAUCCACAGCAAUACCAUCUCCGGAAAUAACAUGGCCAGGGAAACUCACUUCUUUCAACCAGAAUUCACACUUAGACAAUUUGGCAUAAAGUUUCUUCUCUUUCAACACUUGUAAGACAAUCUUCAGAUGCUCUGCAUGUUCUUCUUCAGUCUUGGAGUAAAUCAAAAUAUCGUCGAUGAACACAACUACGAACCGAUCCAAAAAUGCAUGGAAGAUGCGAUUCAUAUACUCCAUAAACACUCCAGGUGCAUUGGUCACAACGAAAGGCAUAACUUUGUAUUCAUAGUGACCAUAGCGCGUUCUGAAAGCUGUCUUCUGCAUAUCCUCAUCUUUUACUUUAAUCUGGUGAUAACCCGAUCUCAAAUCAAUCUUGCUGAAAACUUGUGCACCCACUAGCUGAUCCAUCAAAUCAUCAAUUCUCGGAAGUGGAUACCUAUUCUUGAUAGUUACUUUGUUCAACUGCCGAUAAUCAAUACACAACCGCAUACUACCAUCUUUCUUCUUUACUAGCAAAACCGGCGCUCCCCAAGGUGAAACACUUGGUCUAACAAACUUCUUUUCAAGCAAGUCCUCCAACUGUUCCUUCAACUCAGAUAAUUCUGAAGCAGACAUACGAUAAGGUGCCAUCGAGACCGGUUUCGUUCCAGGAACAAGAUCAAUAGAAAACUCGACUUCUCUCUCUGGAGGCACAUCAGGAAUCUCAUCUGGAAAGACUUCAGGAAAUUCACACACCACCGGUAGCCUAUCAAUCAUUGCUUGAUUCUCAACAGAUAAAGAAGCCAUCAAGGAAAACAUCAAGAUAUCAUCGCGUUCCAGUUGCUUCAGCUGCUUAGUAGAUAAAAACUCUGCACCACUUUCCUCUUCGACGGAAGAGAAAUGUACUGACUUGCUAAAACAAUUAAUAAGAACGUGAUUGUACUUUAACCAGUUCAUACCCAAAAUCACAUCCAUACCACUCAAAGGUAGACAAACUAAAUCCAUUUCAAAAUCACGACCAAACAUAGACAAAGGACAUUUCAAACAUACGAGAGAAGUAGUCACCGAACCCUUAGCUGGAGUUUCGACAACCAUCUCUCCAUUCAUAUCAGACAACUCAAGACCCAAAGCAGAAACACAAUCGAAAGCAAUAAAGCAAUGCGUAGCACCAGUAUCAAUAAUAGCAACUAAAGGGGUAUUAUUAAUAUAGCAAGUACCUCUGAUCAAACGAUCCUCAUUCUCUGUCUGAGUCUCAGUCAAAGCAAAAACCCUACCAGUAGUCGGCGCCCUCUUCGGCUGAGUACACUGAGAACUAAUGUGACCCUCUCCAUUGCAGUUAAAGCACACAAUGUCCGUGCGAUUGCAAUCAGCUACAACAUGACCUCUCUUACCACACCGGACACACUUCUUGAUUUCUUCGGGACAGGCGUUGCUCUUGUGGCCUUUCCCACCACAAUUGAAGCACACAAUCUCUGCAGCAUCCUUCUUCUUAGGCCGCCUAACAUCGACCAUCUUCUGUUUCCCUUUGUCAGCGGGGGCACUGUACGGCUUAGGACGACUCUGCUGCCCCUUACCCUUCCUUUCGUUCACUACCUUGUAGUGAGCCUUCGUAUCCUCUUCAUAGAUCCUGCAGCUAUUAACCAAGUCCUGAAAAACUCUCAGCUGUUGAUACCCAAGCGCCCUCUUGAUGUCGGGCCUCAAACCGUUCUCGAACUUGAUACAUCUCGAGAACUCAGAAUUCUCAGCAGUAUAGUGCGGGUAAAACUUUGACAGCUCCACAAACUUGGCAGCAUACUCUGUCACAGACAUGUUCCCUUGCUUCAACUCAAGGAACUCGAUCUCCUUCUUCCCGCGAACAUCUUCCGGAAAGUAUCUUCUCAGGAACUCCCUCUUGAAAACAGCCCAAGUCACAACAGCUCCCUCCUGCUCAAGGGUAGGUAGAAGAGCAACCCACCAGUCAUCAGCUUCCUCGGCCAGCUGAUGAGUACCAAACCGAACUUUCUGAUCUUCCGUGCACUGCAUAACCCGGAAAAUCCUCUCUAUCUCUUUAAGCCACGUCUGGGCUCCAUCAGGGUCAUAACGUCCUUUGAAAGUCGGAGGGUUCUUCUUCAUGAACGUCUCCAACAUCCUAGCUUCAGCAUUCGCACCAGCAUUCACGUUAGGUUGUUGUCCCACAGCUUGGGCAACAGCUUGUAGAGCAGCAGCUAACGCAGCAUCGUUCCUUCCAGCCAUUCUGAUAUUCUACAAAAGUAGCAACAACAGUAUAAGAUAGUAAUAUAAUAUUACUAAGACUCGACACAACUCUCUAAUUGACCGGACGGACCGACCUGCUCUGAUACCAAUUGUAACACCCCGUUUUCCCAAUAUCGAAAAUUUCUUUAAAAACAUAACAUUUAUCAGAGUAACAUCAAACAACGGGAUAUCACAUAUAACGUAAUCCAACAGUUAAAUAAUAAUUUAACCAAUAUCUUAAACAUUGCAGCGGAAAGUCGUAAAUAUAAUUCAUAAAACGUUUUGGCACUCAGGCCCAACAAGUAUCUCAAAAGAGUUUAUCAAAACAUAAUUAUCAUGGCAGUUCACGUAAAAGAAUGAAGCUUAUUAUAGCAAUAACCCCAUCCCGUUACGUAUCAGAGCGACCUAGACGACACAGUGAAGGCAAGGCCACUCACGACGGCAACUGCACACUAAGCACGAUCACCUGCACGUUACCCACGGUCGAGGUAACAUUCAAACAGAAGGGGUGAGAUUUCAUAACAGAAUAACAUUAAACAAUGCAAUUAAGAAUUAUAAGUUAAACAUCAUAGUCAUUACAUUAUUAACUUUGCAUAAAUGCUAAGCAGUUAUCACGUAAUCAUAUAUCCAAUAAUUAGGAAUAACAUAACACAUUCAAUAAACACUUAUCACGUAAUCACAUAUUCAAUCAUUAUCAACAAGGCAUCUUAAUCAUGACAAUGUGACAAUGCUCCUAGACUCCAUAUAUGCAUGUGGUACCAAUCGUCAUCAUAAGUAUUAAUAUACUUUAAUCGUGCGGAGGACAAAGCUCCUAUAAAACGUGCGGAGGACAAAGCUCCUAAUAUUCGUGGUGAGGACUAAGCUCAAUGAUAUGUAAUGCAUGGACACUUAUGAACAAAACACGUAAUCAUCGUAAUCAACAAUGCGUCCAAUAAUUUGGAGCUAAACCUUAUCAUAUACAUAUGCACUUAGUUAAAUAACGGAAGCAGCAUAAACAAGUCACAUAUCAAGAUGAUAUCAUUAUAUCAAUAGCACAUAAAUUGCAUUAUUAUUAACCCUUCAUAUCUUGCAUGAAUAUACAAUAUAAUAGUUCUUGCUCAAUUAAUAUUUAUGUAACUUAAACAACUCUACAGGCUGCAUUAAACGUCAUCUUUAGGUUUCAUUACCAACUAGGGGUUCACUCUUGAUCAACACAUGCGACACAGAUCGCACAACACUCAAGCAACUACAUUCUGGUUGUACUCGCGAGGCGAGAGUACUUACUCGCCAUGGCGAGUAACACUAAUCUCCCCAACUGAUGUCGUCCUGGCCCCACCCCUGUCCCUACAUUCCCUCCCAAUCCAUCCCUAAGUCAUGCUCCCGGUCCCCCCCCGGGCUUACAAGGCCUCAACCCCAACAACGGUCCCACCCCCGCACACUUUUGACCUUCGCCCCCCCGCCCCUAAUCNNNNNNNNNNNNNNNNNNNNNNNNNNNNNNNNNNNNNNNNNNNNNNNNNNNNNNNNNNNNNNNNNNNNNNNNNNNNNNNNNNNNNNNNNNNNNNNNNNNNACUCUAGAAGGAUCCCGCCAGAGAUCAGGCUGAAGACAGUGAUUUUAAAAUCGAUGAUCAAGGCGUGUUGAGAUUCCGAGGGAGAAUUUGUAUUCCAGACGACGAAGAGAUUAAGAAGAUGAUUCUUGAAGAGAGUCAUAGAAGUAGCUUGAGUAUUCACCCGGNGAGCUAUGUAACGCCCUCCUUGAAUUAUUUGAUUAUUUAAUUAUUUUUAUUGAGUUAGGAUAUAUUUAUAUAAUUUAUGUGAUUUUAAAUAAUAUUGGUUGAUUAUGUGGUGUGUAUUAUUUUAUUAUAUAGUCUAUUUUAAUAUUAAUUAGAAUAAUGUGAGAAUUAAUAUUAUUUUGGAGGUUGGGGAGUUAAUUAGGAAUUAAUAGAAUUAAGGGGAGUUUAAUGAAAUAAAGGAGGAGUUAUAUUUUGGGAGUUAGGAAAAGAAAAGUCAGAAAAACAGUUUAACGUGAAAACAAGUGGGAGAGGAGAAAAGCUAAGGCAAGGGAGAAGACCAAGAGAGAAAAGCUUAGGAACUGAUUGCUGUGUUUUUGUCUUUGCAAUUCUAAGGUAAGGGUGAGACUAUCUCUCAAUGAUAAUGGUUAUAUAAUUCUGAUUUUGGUUUAGCAUAGUUCUAGUUGAAAUUGGGAAUUGGGGGUUAGGUUUUGGAGUAUGAUUCUUGGAUUGAAAAGUGUAGAAAUCAUGACAAUUGUGUUAAGAAUCGAUGUUCAGAUUGUAGAAUAAACAUAGGUUGAGUUUCCUAUCAAAUUUGGGGUUUGGGUGGAUGAAAAAUUGGGUUUUUGGCUGAAAACUGGUCUGUUCCCGUAGGGUUGUUCGUCGCAACUCGCCACAGCGAGUAAACUUACUCGCCUCGCGAGCUGCACAGAGACAGCAUCACCUGUUUCGCGUUCUUGCGUCUUUUUCACAUGUUUCUGUUUUGAAUUGGUCUUUAGUGUAAACAUGAAAGUUGUAGAUAAUUUUGUUAGCUUUCCAAUGGCUUUGGUUGGACUCGAAAAUGAGUUUUGGUUUAUGAGAUAUGAUGAAAAUACUCCAAGGAGGUCUUAGUGAAUUUUUAUGAAUUUUAGCACAACUUUGUCAGAAUUUGAAAUGAAAACUGGUAUUGAUUGGUACAUAAUUGGUCUCAGGUGUAAACACAAAAGUUGUAGGUAUGGAUGUUAGCUUUCUAAUGUCGUUGGUUUGACUUCAAAAGGAUUUAUAGAACUUGAGUUAUGGUCAAAUUACUGCACGUAGGUCACAGUGAAGAAUUGUUUAUGAUUGAUGAAUUAAUAUAUGUAUGUAUAUAUUUGUGAGCGAUAUUGUCCAUGAUUGAUGAAGUGUUAUAUGUAUAUAUGAUGUUUUAAGAUGUUAAUUACCAUUUGAUGUCGUUAUAUCUUGAGAUUGUUUGUGUACUGCCAUGUCGCUGUUUAAUUAUGGAUUAAGCUGUAUAUGUGGGUUAAUGUGGGUUAACGUUGGUUAAUAUUUGAUUAAAGUUAGGUUUUGUUAAUUAAUGGGUUUUGAGUGUAGGAAUUGUUGAAUUGGAGUUAGAAAUGGGUUCUGGGUACAUAAAACCUUUCAUUUCAUAUCUGUAAACUAAUUUGGGGAGUGAAUUGAAGGAAAAUGAGAUUUUUGGGAAAAACCUGCAUUCUGCCCGUACAGAAGUUCAUCGCUCGCCUCGCGAGUAGCCUGUGCUCGCCAUAGCGAGUGAGCAACUUCAUGGCUCGCCUCGCGAGUGAUACAACUCGCCAUGGCGAGUACCCUUGUGAAAAUCUGAAUUUUUAAAAUGUUGUUAUAAGCCGUAUUUUGGGUAGUUUUAUGUAUCUAGAUGAUUUUAAAGAGGACUGGAGCAAGUUUUAGGUUUAAAAGAUGAUUAGGGAGCUUAGAAUUGAUGAUUUAGUGAGAAAAUGUCGAAACUCCCGAGAGCACCACUUUUCUGUUCGCCUCGAGUUCGCCUCGAACUCGCCAUGGCGAGUACCUUAUUUCCCGAGCUCGCCAUAGCGAGUAGAUGUGCUCGCGAGGCGAGCUGCCCAGAAUUUUGUUGGUUUGACUUCUGUUGUUAAUGGUUGAUUUAUCUUGUUGAUUAAGCAUGGCUUGUAUGUUGGUGUAUUUCUCUGGAUGUUCUAAUUUGGUUGUGAUUGAUGAAUGGAUGCUAGCUGGAUGUAUGCUUUUAUUUAAUUAAGUUUUACAUGAAUGUUGUAAAUUGGAGUGGUGAGUCAUAUAUACAUAUAUGCUUAGGUGGGAUUGUAUGUAGAUAUACUCAAGUGGGUCAGUUGCAUGAGCAUAACAGUGGGAGAGUUUCGGCUCUGGAACGCCUUGUCGUUCAAAGUGGUGGAGCACUAGUUGCUCAAAGUGAUGUUAGUGGUGAGGACUUAUGUCCUGAUGAGAAUGCUUUAACCAUUCGACAGCGGUGUGGGUCACGGCCCUGAUUAUGGUACCACAUGCAUAGUUGCAUUUGUUGAGGAGUCUUAGUGGAGUUGUCAUGUCUUGCAUGAGUCUUAGUGGUGGUGUCGAGUUGUUGCAUGAGUCGUUGUUGAUGGCUUUAAUUAUCAUUUGGUUGAUGUGUUAAUGAUGAUAUACUUAUAUAUUGGUGAAUUAUUAUUAUGGCAGAGUGUUAGAUGUAAUUGAUGAAUUGGAUAUCUAUUAUUGAUGAUAUUGUUGAUUAUGAAAUAUAUACAUAUAUUGGAUAAUUGUAGUUGUCGUUGUUCUUGAGAGAUUUGUUGUUGUUGUUGUUGAUUAAGUUGUUGUCGUUGUCGUUGAAUCUUGUUGUUGUCGUCGUUGUUGGUUGAAUUAGCAAGCGUUACUAAAGUUAAAGAAGUAAGAACAUUAUUGUUGAAUAUAUGUUGUUGUUUAUAUUAUUAUGAUAUUGAUUAUAAUGUUAUGAUGACUGUUUAUGGUGUUGAAUAUAAAAUUGGUGUGAUGUUACGUGAUGGUAAUUAUAAAUGUUGUGAUGAUGAUUAUGAGAUGUUAUCUAUAAGUUGUUAAAUGUACUUGAUGAUGGUUAUGUUAAGUUGAUAAGUUGUCUUUUAUUCAUAAAUUGCUAAUUGAAUGUUUGAUGAAUAAUUAUUAUUAUGAAAUGAUGAUGUUACGUAUAGUUGCUAAGUUGUCCUCUAUUCAUAAGUUGUUAAUAAGGUGCUAGGUGGAGAAUGUUAACAUGAAUAAAUGAUGUUGUUAUGUUGUAUAUGAACUAUGAAUAUGAUGUUGUUACGUUGUUUAGGUCAUUGAUUAUGAAGUUGUCAUGUUGUAUACGAAUUAUGAGUAUGAUGUUAUAUGAUUAUGAUUAAGAUGUUGAUUAUGAAGUUAAAUGAUGCUGCUAUGAUGAUGUUUAUGAUAUCGAGUUAUGACUGUUGAUAUGAUGAGUAUAUGAUAUGGUUUAGGAGUCGUUAAAAGAAUUACUAUUACUAAUUGAUGAAGUUUAAGUUGUUAGAUGCAUUUGAUGAAUUAUAUAUUAUUAUUAUUGAUUGUGAAUCUCACCCCUUCUGCUUGAAAAUGUUGCUCUUCGUAUGAGUAACUUGCAGGUGAUCGAGAGUAGGUUGCUGUGUUUUUGCUGUCGUGAGUGGCUAUCCCUCACUGAGUCGUUUAGGUGCUCUGAUACGUAACGGGAUGGGAACUUUGUUGCAUGCUUUUCUAUUCCUUAUGUAUUGUUUAUAAAUUUACAUGAUUAAGUUGUUAAUUGGAUUUUUAUGAGAUGUUUUGAUGAGGCCUUCGUGCCAAGACUUUUUAUGUUAAUGAAUUUAAUCCGCUGCAAAGUUUGAAUUAAUAUGUCGAAGGAUAAAUUAGUUAAUUAACUUAUUUACGAUUUUAUGAAGUGUAGCAUUCCGUUUACAUGUUGAAUACUCUGAUUAAUUAAAUGAAAUUUUUAAGUCGGGAAAACGGGGUGUUACAAGCUACGAAGAUGUAUCAUGAUCUAAAGAAGAUUUUCUGGUGGUCUGGUUUGAAAAGAGAUGUGGCACAGUUUGUGUAUUCCUGUUUAGUUUGUCAGAAGUCGAAGGUCGAGCAUCAGAAACCCGCUGGGAUGAUGGUACCUUUGGAUGUGCCGGAAUGGAAAUGGGAUAGUAUAUCGAUGGAUUUUGUGACGAGUUUGCCGAAUACUCCGAGAGGGAGCGAUGCAAUUUGGGUUAUAGUUGAUAGAUUGACAAAGUCAGCUCAUUUCCUACCUAUUAAUAUUAGUUUCCCUGUUGCCCAGUUGGCAGAGAUUUACAUCAAAGAGAUUGUGAAGCUGCAUGGUGUUCCUUCGAGCAUUGUAUCAGAUAGAGAUCCAAGAUUUACUUCUAGAUUUUGGAAAAGUUUGCAAGAGGCCUUGGGUUCGAAGUUGAGAUUGAGUUCGGCGUAUCAUCCACAGACAGAUGGUCAGUUGGAGAGGACAAUUCAGUCACUAGAGGAUUUAUUGAGAAUUUGUGUUCUUGAGCAAGGAGGAACUUCGGACAGUCAUCUUCCAUUGAUCGAGUUCACUUAUAAUAAUAGCUAUCAUUCUAGUAUUGGAAUGGCACCUUUCGAGGCUUUAUAUGGUCGGAGAUGCAGAACUCCGUUGUGUUGGUUUGAGUCAGGUGAAAGAGUGGUCUUAGGACCAGAGAUUGUUCAGCAAACUACUGAGAAAGUUCAGAUGAUCCGAGAGAAAAUGAAGGCGUCGCAGAGUCGACAAAAGAGUUAUCAUGAUAAGUGUAGAAAAGAUCUUGAAUUUAAGGAAGGAGACCACGUGUUUUUGAGAGUCACUCCUAUGACUGGUGUAGGACGUGCUUUGAAGUUAAAGAAGUUGACCCCGAAGUUCAUUGGUCCAUAUCAGAUUUUGGAAAGAGUUGGGACGGUGGCUUACCGAGUGGGUUUACCGCCGCAUCUUUCGAAUUUGCACAAUGUUUUCCAUGUGUCGCAACUUCGAAAGUAUGUUCCGGAUCCAUCUCAUGUAAUUCAGAGUGACGAUGUGCAAGUUAGAGACAACCUUACGGUAGAGACGUUACCGUUGAGGAUUGAUGAUCGUAAAGUGAAGACGUUGAGGGGCAAGGAGAUACCUCUCGUGAGAGUCGUUUGGUCGGGAGCGACUGGCGAAAGCUUGACGUGGGAGCUUGAGAGUAAGAUGCUGGAGUCGUAUCCAGAGUUGUUUACUUAAGGUAAAUUUCCCCACGACGAAAAUCUUUUAAGUGGGGGAGAGUUGUAACCCCCCCUUUUCCUGAAUCAUUCCUCUCAUCCUCCUCUCCCCCCUGAUAUCAUCCGCCCUCUCACUAUCGUGCUGGACGUCGCCUCUCUUCCCGCCUCCCCUCCCGGGACAACCCCCAUCAUCCCUUCAAUCCUCCGUCCUCGACCUCGCCUUCCACUCUCUCCAUCCCUUCUCCCACCCGCCCAAGCCUCCCCCCCCCUCCCUCCCCGACCCCUCCAUUCCCUCCCUCCGACCUCUUCCGGCCCCCCCUCCGAGUCGCCAUCUGCUUGCCCCCCCUCCGCUGCCCUCCCUCUCCUCAAGUACGCACCUCUANNNNNNNNNNNNNNNNNNNNNNNNNNNNNNNNNNNNNNNNNNNNNNNNNNNNNNNNNNNNNNNNNNNNNNNNNNNNNNNNNNNNNNNNNNNNNNNNNNNNCUCAAAUCAUUAUAUGGACUCAAACAGGCCAGCAGGAAAUGGUAUGAAAAAUUGGCAUCUCUGUUAGUUAGUCAUGGGUAUAAACAAGCUUCAGUAGAUCACUCUUUUUUCAUCAAACAUAGUACCACUCAAUUCACUACUCUCUUAGUCUAUGUUGAUGACAUAAUCUUAGUUGGUAAUUCUUUGGAUGAAUUAACUUUUAUUAAGAAUAUUCUUCACAAUUCCUUCAAAAUCUAAGAUUUGGGCCAGCUUAAAUAUUUCCUAGGUUUGGAGAUUGCUCAUUCAAAACUAGGCAUUUCUCUAUGCUAAAGGAAGUAUUGCUUGGAUUUGUUGUCUGAUACAGGUUUUUUAGAUUCAAAACUUGUAGCCACCCCUCAGAUCCGUCAAUCAAGCUAUAUCAUGAUGAUUCACCUCCAUACAUAGACAUUCUUGCUUACAGAAGACUUGUUGGGAGAUUAUUGUAUUUGAAUGCAACUAGACCAGACAUUACCUUCAUUAGUCAACAAUUGAACCAAUUCUUAUCUAAGCCAACUCAAACACACUACAACGCAGCUUUAAGAGUGCUUAGAUAUCUCAAAACUUGUCCUGGCAAAGGUAUUCAUUUUCCCAGAUCUUCACUUCCUUAUAUCCAAGGUUACUCAGAUGCUGACUGGGUAGGUUGUAGAGACACCAGAAGAUCCAUUUCUGGGCAAUGUUUCUUUCUUGGUGAUUCAUUGAUCUCAUAGAGGACCAAGAAACAACUCACUGUCUCUAGGUCUUCUUCUGAAGCUGAAUAUAGAGCAUUGGGAGCAGCUACCUGUGAGCUUCAAAGGUUGUUGUAUCUUUUGAAAGAUUUGCAGAUUAUAUGCACUAGAGUUCCUGUGUUGUAGAUUUGCAGAUUAUAUGCACUAGAGUUCCUGUGAUAAUCAGAGUGCUCUUCACAUCUCAGCUAAUCCAGUGUUCCAUGAAAGAACUAAACAUUUGGAAAUUGACUGUCACAUUGUCAGAGAAAAAAUUGCAGCAGGAAUCAUGAAACUUCUUCCCAUUUCCUCUCAAAAUCAAUUUGCAGAUUUUUUUAUUAAGUCCCUUCUUUCUCGACCUUUCAAUUCUCUGCUGUUCAAGCUGGGUUUAGUUGAUAUAUACAAACCUCCAACUUGAGGGGGACUAUUACAUUUUAUGUUUUAGCUUUACUAUUAGAGAUAACUUGUGGAGCAAGUUAUCUAGUAGAGUAGCAAUUCUCUAGUUGCUAGUUCACAGUACUUAGCAUACUUUCCCUCUAUUGUAUAAAUAUCAUUGUACUACACUCUUUUCAUCUUUUUUUUUUUUUGGUCAAGUAGCCAAGUGGCUAGUCAUAAUAAUUCCUCCCUUUGAUUUAAAUUUUUUCUUCUAAAUUGUUAUCUUUUGUUCCCAUAUUUUAUAUUUUGUCGUGAUCCCAGAUCCACAAGGAAGAAACUUGAUACUCAUUUCAUUGUUCUAAGUUUUUCUUUAAAAAAGAAGAUAUGUUCUAAGAAGCGUUUUUUUUCCUGAGCAAAUGUUCUACGAAUCUUGAUCCACGAGGAAUUCAAAAUUCUACUUUUUUUUGUUACAAAAUAAAGAAGAAAAUCAAAAUUCUAUUUUAGUAGUGUUCAAAAAAGGAAUACUAAUAACAUGAUACAAUUAUGAUAUUAAUGACAAAUGACUCACUUUAGGAAUGUUUUAAUCUCAACCAUUCAUUAAAAAUUUGAUGGCUAGCUCUUAUUCAUUCUCAUCAUUCUCAUAUAAAAAUAGCUCCAUGAUAUUCAUACGUGGUCAGUGCUAUUUCGAUUUCUAUGAGUGUGAGAGUGGAUUUUGAAAAAUUGAUACAGCACCAUGAUAUUAGACGAAGAAGAUGAGACGAGGCUUCUAUCGGAUUAACAAAUGAAUUUGGGGAAAAUAUCAACCAUUCACGUGACUAUAAUAAGGGUUUUAAUUUAAGCCAUUAAUUUUUGAUCUAGUGGCUCAAAAUUAUUCCUACUAUUCUCACCUAAAAUACUCAUUCUCACUUGAUAUGUCCCCUAUAUAUAUAUAUAUAGAGAGAGAGAGAGAGAGAGUGUUUUGCUAGAAGACAUCUUUUAUGAAGGUGUCUUUUUUUAACAAAGUUAUAACCAAAAAGUGGAUAUCACACCUUGAGGUGUGGCUUGCUAAAAGACACUUGUAAAAUGUGACUUCUAGCAAAACCCAUGUGUGUGUGUACACACACAAAAUAUUGGCGCCUCUAAAAAUAUAGUGUCCUCGACUGCUGUCCCCUUAGCCCAUACUCGGGGCCAAGAGGGAAAAAAAAUCAUUACAUUUACACAUACCUUCAUUGUGCCAUGCAACCCAAAUGAAAUAAAGUCACUUUGCUGUAGCUUGCAUAUAGAAAGUUUCUUUGGGCAAAAAUCAGAUGGUAUGAUCCGUGAAGGAUAUUUAGGCCAUUCCAAUACUCUCAAACUGUUAGGAAGAUAUUUAGGACCUUUGGAAAAGCUACCAUUCUUAACAAUAAGUGUUUUGAGGUUUUGCAUCUUCUUGAGCUCAUCUCCCUUCCAUUCUAUCACCUCUUCCUCAGAUAACGGGAAUUCCAAAUAUAUAAUUUCAAUUUGACUUGAUCCCUUAAAGCGCAAAAAAAAAAAAAAAAAAACACAAAUCAACCAAGAUAACAAAUAAACAUAGGAACAAAAUUGAUAUUAAAAGAAUUAGUUAAAAAGAACAAAAUGAAGAUUAAAGAUAACAAAAAACCCAUUCAUAGAUAUCAGUAUUCACCUUAUUUUCUUCUAAGACAUGAAUUAUGUCUUUAUGGAACCACAACCUACUACGUCUUCCUGGCUCUUUUGGAGAUUUUUCAUGCACAAUUUCUUUACCCAUUUUCUCUAUCAAGGCAUGUAAUGUCACAACAUAAUUCCCCAGGUACCAGUAGAUCUUUAUGAGAGAUUUGUCAUGCAACACUCUGAUUUGAUAAUUCAUGCAGUUACCAUAAUGAGCAUGAAGUAUAUUUUCAAGUUCUUUCAAUUCAUAUCCUUUGAAGCAGCAAGCGAUGUCAAGAAAAACAUUUUUCUCAUCUUCCUCCAAAGCAUCAAAGCUUACUUUAAGUAUCUCUUGGAUCUUUCUAAUGGGUCUCCUUUCAUACUGACUUAAUGCAGAUUUCCAUUCUCUUAUAUUCUUUCCAAACAAGUUGGAACCCACUACUUCUAAAGCCAAUGGAAGGCCAGAAGCAUAAGUUACAGCCUGGUGUAAAAUGUCGUCAAAAUUUGUAUCGACUUUGUUAUUUUUGAAAGCAUUCCAUCUCAACAAUUCAAGAGCUUCUUUGUCAUUUAACUUAUGUAUUUCAUAUGCUCUUUCAAUCCCAUGACCAUCUAGCAAUUUUUUUUCUUGAGUGGUAAUGAUCACUUUACUUCCAAGACCAAACCAAUCAAGUCGUCCAGCCAAAACUUGCAAUUGCUUCAGUUCAUGAACAUCAUCUAGAAUCAACAAAACCUUCUUUCGGUGAAGCCUUUGCUUUAUGAUUGGAAUUCCCUCGUUGACAUCUCCUAACUUAACGUCCAAUUCAACUAAUUUGGAAAGGAGCUUUUCCUGUAGAUGCUCUAAACCAUAUUUAGCUGAAUUUUCCCUUACAUUGUGAAGAAAACACAAACCAUCAAAUUGAUCGGCUAUGGAAUUAUAAACUGCUCUGGCAAGUGUUGUCUUUCCCAUCCCUCCAGUCCCAUAGAUCCCUAGCAUCUGAACUUCACCAUUAGAUCUGAGAUCCAGAAAUGAAUUUACUUUUAGGACCCUAGACUGGAGACCAACGGGGUAAUCGGCAACAUAUAAAGGAACACGAUUGAUCUUGCUGGAUACGUAUUUGACUAUCUUCUCAAUAAACUCAUAUUCAUAUCCAUUCCUAUCCAAUCAAAUAAGUUUGAGUAAAUGCAUCACAAAUAUACAAUAAGAUCCAUGUAUGGUUGUAUGAAUACAAAUCAAAUAUUGUUUUGACAUAAAAUAACUUUCACUUGUUAAGAAUAGAAAUAAUAUUUUCUAUUUAAACAAUAUGAUGAAACGGUUGGAAAAUAGAAUAUUUAAGAAUGCAAAACAUGAGUGAAGUGGGGUACCUAGGAUUGAAAUGGUGGCCAGAGAAGUUAGCAGUUUGAGUAAGAGCACUCUUCCAUUUCUGCAACCUCUCCAUGUUAUUCUUGUUAUUUUGGAACUUCUCUAUAUGAUCAUCCAGUGCUUUAGCAUAACUUCCAUGUUGAUGUCGCACAUGAGAAGGUUCCACAUCAUAAAAAAUCGGCAAAACUAGACGGCUACUUUCCUUGAAGCAGUGAAUGAUGUGGACAAGUUCGUCCAAGCAAAAUGAAGAAGAAGCAUAAUUGGUAGAUAAGACAGGAAUGAAAAUCCUAGUCUCUUCAAUGUGCUUGAAAAGUGAUGGUGUUAUUUCGUCACCUCCUUUAAGCUCUCUGUCAUCAAUGAAGGUGCGAAUUCCCUUCCUACAAAGAUCUUUGUGGAGAUUUCCAAUAAAACUGUAGCGUGUGUCACUACCUCUAAAACUUAGGAAAACGUCAUGAGUGAAUCCAUAGGAGAAGGAAGAGGAGGAAGAGAUGGAUGAUUGAGUAUGAGAAGGAAGAGCCAUGAGAAUAGUGAAUAAUGGGAAGCAAGAAGAGUAUGAGAAGGAAGAAUACAGAUGAUUGUGUGUGUGUUAUAGUCACAAAGAUUGGAACACAUGAAUGGGAACGCAGUUUCCCUUUUGCAAUUGUCAAACUUCUUUUUCCUUUUCCUGUCUUUUCUGUUUGCCAAUACACAAUAAUAUAAUGUAAUAAGGAAAAGGACAAGUGUAAAAUCAUACAAUAGUGUAAUCAUUAUUUUUUCUUUUGAGACAUUUAUAUGGUAUUCAAAUAUAUUAGUGUAUUAAUUUGACCUGCUUUAGGACAAUAUUCAAUUUAAAGUUCAGAUUAGAUAAUUUUUCAUGUAAUAGAAAAUGAAAUUUCCUAUCUGCCGUGUGGGUCAGCCAAUACACCAUGAUAAUAAUCAUCAUUUCACUAUUGUUAUUCCAUGUAUAAUAGAAAAAGUAAAGGUUGUGUCACAAAACAAAAGAAUAUAGUGGUAGUGGUGCUGAUUUCUCAUAACUUUUCUUCGCCGAAAGUUUUCUCCUCAAGAUUGUUUUCACGUUCAAAUUAAAUAUAAUAAAUAUUUUAUCCUUCGAAAAAAAUGCAUAAAGUUUUGUCUUCAAAUUUGUUUUCGCAUUCAAGUUCUACUGGAUCUAGAAAGUUAUAGGUAGACGCAUAGGGGGAAAAAGGACACCCAGAUGAAUGCUACCAAGCCUUCGAAUAUGCUAAAUGACUAAUAUUUCAGACACAUAAUUACAUUCAAUUAUUUCUACUUUCUUAAAUAAUAAUCAAGGUCUAUAAUUAUACAUGUCGGUGUGUUGGUGUCGUGUCCGGUGUCAAUGUUUUAUACCUAGUAAAUCACCAAUUAGGCAUCUGAAAUUGUAUUAACAAAAACAAAUCUAUCAUACUAAAACAACUACUUUUUUUUUUUUGAAUCAAGAGAGCAAGGAAGGCAUCAAGGAGAAGCUACACAUAUAAAUUAGGUUGACACCCCGAAGUUGCUCCCAUCAUCUACCACCUGCUCUGAAAUUUUAUUAAAAAAUAAAAAAUUGUACAAGAGGGGAGGAGUAAAAAUUGUACAACAAAAGUGGUAACAAAGGGAAUUAAAAUUCGGAAGACAUCCCUUUCAAAAUCCUGCUUAACAGUACAAGCAUCAAAGCCUCUAAAAUUCCAAUAGAAGACCUUCAUUGAGUAGGAGGAGUAAUUACACCCUUAGAUCAGGUUUUUUAGGAAACUCGAUAGAGUUCUUUUUUCCGCUUCAUACUAAAAUAAGGUGUAAAUUGUUUUGUAGGCUCCUCCACCUCUGGAUCCAAAAAUUGCCGUAACAAAUUGAUAUCCUUCUGCAAAACUGGGUAUAUGGGCGGUUGCUGCAUGUUUUGAGUAUCUGGAACAGUUUCAUGUGAGGAUGUGGUUGUGGAACUCCCAGGAAAUGUCGCAGCCGUUGUUGCACUUAGAGGCUGAACCGAUUCAACUUUCAAGUAUAGGACAGUUCUCUAACUGUUGAACCUUUUCCUCGGUGUUUCGUUCAACAAUAUCAAUGACAUUCUCCAAUGGGAAAUGAAAUGAGGUACCUGACUUCGUUAGUGCACCUUCCUUCACAAUUUCAUUCUCAUCUAUAUUCACAGUGGCCUCAUGUUGUUCAUUUGUGGCAUGCGUAUGUUGUUCCUUCUUUGUCUCAACUAUGUUCUCAGGCGUGUCAUGUUGUUCAGUUGCGGCAUGUGUAUGUUUUUUAUAUUUUGUGUGUUGAUGUUUCUAUAGUGAUAGCAUCCUCUUGCUCCAUUACAUUUUCCACAUUAAUUAUCUUAGUCUCAGCUAUGGAAGCACCUGCAACCGAGGUACCAUUGUGUUCAUCUCUUCUGCAUUCUACCCAUUGUUUUCUACCCUUUUUCGGUGCCUCCACCUCAUGGUGAUUUGUCCCAACAACAUGUUCCUCCACUCUAGGAUGCAGCCAUUUGUAAUUAGAAACAUUGUGCACAAUGAUACGACAAUGGGAGAAAAACAUAGGCAGCCUCUCAUACACCACGUCCACCUAACAGGUGAAAUAUUUGGAGAAGAAGGAAAAUACUCCCAAUUGGAGGUAAAAGGAGGUAAAGAAGAAGUAUAGGGUAAAAUUAAUUCAUGAAAGAUGACAUUUUUGGAAAUGAGUAUUUCUUUUGUGUUAAGAUCAUAAAUAACAUAUCCUUUGAAACCUAACUUGUAUCCUAAGAAAACAUACUUUAUAGCUCUAUGCUGUAAUUUAGUUCCAUGAGCUUGAAGAGUUGAAUAAUAACAUAAACAACCAAAAACUUUGAAAGAUUGAAGGUCAGGUAAUGAGUCAUACAAACUUGAAUAAGAACCCUAUUUAUAAGGAAAACAGCAUACAAGACAGCAUAUAAACAUAUUGGAAAGUUUAGAUUGAUAUGACAAAGCUCUAGAUACCUUCAGGAUAUGUUGGUGUUUUUUUUUCUACCCUGCCUUUUUUUGAGGUCUCUCAACACAAGAUUUUUGGUGAAUGAUCCCUUUUGAUGCAUAAAAGUCAGAAAGAAGAAAUUCCGGUCCAUUAUCAGACCUCAUGAACUUAGGAGUUAUAUGAUGAUGGGUAUGAAUGAGUUGAAUAAAACUUUUGACAUGAGAAGAUACCUGAAAUUUGUUUUUUAGUAAAAUGAUCCAUAAAAAUCUACUAAAAUCAUCAAUAAUAGUAAGAAAAUACUUGUGAUUAUGAACUGAAAUUUUGGCUAUGGGACCCAAAUAUCAAAGUGCAAUAGUUCAAAUUUAGAAGAAGCGAUAGAGGUACUCAAAGAAUACGGCAAUUUUCUUUGUUUGACAAAAUGACAAAUAUCACAAGUAGUUUUAUUAUUAGUAGAUACAGUAGAGUACAUAUGAUGCAUUUGAGACAAUCUUUGAUUAGACAAAUGUCUUAAUCUAAAGGUCCGUAUAUCAUUAGAAGGACUUUGAGAAUAAUUAACAGUACAAGAAACUUAAUUACAAGACUUGUGUGAAUUUUGAUGCUUGAAUAUGCUUGUAGUAUUGAUUCACACUUAGAUCUAGCUUUUCUUUCUUAUCUCUGUUUCUUUGAAUAUGUUUGUAGUGUUGCUUCACACUUCGAUCUAGGUAUGUUUAUUGUUCUUGUUGUUUUUGUUGUUGUUUCUUGAGACUACUCUGCCCAUUGAUUACUACCUUUUCUCCACACAUCUAAGUUUAUUGAUGUGAUUUUUUAUUGUUUGAAUUCACAACAAUUGACGCCCAACAUGGGAUAAAGGGGUAAAUUGGUGAAGUGUGUAUCAUGGGUUGAAAGCGGGACAUCGAGAAGUUCACCAGAUUUAAUGAUUUCUGGUGAUGGAAGCUACUUAAGAUGCAAAUAGUUUUGACACACAAAAUGUGUUGAAGUAUAAAGGGUGAAGCUGCAAUGUCAGCUACCUUGACACAAGUGGAGAAACUUGAGAUGAUAUACAAGGCAAAGAGUGCAUUGUUUUUUUUCUUCUUCCUGGAAAUGAGGUUUUGAGUUAUGUCGCGAGGGAAUUUAUCGCGGCACCAAUGUUGGCUAAGUUGGAGUCAUUAUACAUGAUUAAAUCUUUGGCUAAUAGGACACUAUUGAAACAACAUCUCUAGUCAUUCAAGAUGCUGGAGUCUAAACCUAUCAUGCAUGCAGCAAUGAACGAAAUUCAAUAUGAUUUUUGAUGACUUGGUGAACAUUGAAGUGAAGGUGGACGAUGAAGACAAAGUUUUGUUGUUACUAUGUUCUUUACCGAAGUCUUUUGAGCAUUUUAUGGAUGCCAUCCUUUACAAAAAGGAAACACGACUACUUUGGUGAAAAUCUAAACCGCUUAGGCUUUGUUUGCGAGUUUUCAGGGGAAGGAAAGGAAAGGCUAAGGAGGGGAAGGGAAGGAAAGGGAGGGAAGGGAGAGAGGAGGGAAAACCUUCCCCUUGUUUGGGAGUUAAAAAGCCAAUAAGGAAAGGAGAUGGAGGACUUAUGUUAUAAUUUUACUAUUUUACCCUUUUUCCUCUUAAAAUCAAUACAUUGUUAUACAAACCGUCCCUGUGGCCAAAAAUGUUGCCACAUCACCAGCGAAGUGGGGCCAGAGACGUUUUUAAAACAAAUUUUUUUUUACAGGGAUGUAAUUAAAUUUUUUUUUUUUACAAGGACGAAAAUCAAAAUCAGCCCAAAUUACAGGGACGGUUUGCAUAUUUAAGCCUCUAAUUUAUUCAAAACAACUUAUCUCAUGAAAAACAAAUUAUUACGAUCUAUUUUUAAAAAACAACUUAUUUAUAUAUAAAAAAAAAAAAAACUUAUUGCAAUCACUUUUUAAAAACAACUUAUUUAUACAAAACAACUUAUUACGGCCUCUUUUUAAAAAAUAGCUUAUCUUAUGAAAAACAAAUUAUAAUGAUCUUUUUUUUAAAAAACAACUUAUUCAAAACAGCUUAUUUAUACAAAACAGCUUAUUAUGACCUCUUUUUUAAAAAAAAAACAGCUUAUUCAAAACAGCUUAAUACGAUCUCUUUUUCAAAAACAACUUAUCCAAAACAUCUUAUGUAUACAAAACAGGUUAUUACGACCUCUUGUCAAAAAAUAAGUUAUGCAAGGAGCAGGGUUAUGGAUACAAAAGUAGCGGAGGAGAAGGAGCUCGGCGGAGAGAGAGGAAGGGGGAGGGAGGGGAGGGGAGGCGAGGCAGGAGAGGGGGGACCACCAUCCCCCCCCCCACCCACCCGGCCAGCCGCCCCCACCGCACUCACCAGGGCCCGGCCCGGCCGUGCUCGGGAUGUUCUUGUUUUCCUCUCCCCCGGCGGCCCCCGCCGCCCGCCCCCCCCCCGUGCCGCGCCUCCCGCCCCCCGGCUGUGGGCGCUCCCCUGUCGGGCCCCCCGUUCUGUUGCUCGCCCGCGCGGCGGGCGCGGCCUGCGCUCGCGCGGCUUGGGGCCCCCGCCCUGGGCCCCUCUGGGGCUGCGGUCUGCCGGCGUCGCCGUCGUGGUCGCCGGUCCGCCCUCCCCGGUCGCCGCCGCCACGCUCCCCGCCCCCCCUCGCCGCCGCCCCCCCCCCCGCCGCGCUCCUCCCCCUCCCCGCCGCCCUCGCACUCCCUAUUUCCGGCGUCCGCCCCGCGGUCGCGGGUCGCGUCUCUCCCGCGUGGCGGGGUCNNNNNNNNNNNNNNNNNNNNNNNNNNNNNNNNNNNNNNNNNNNNNNNNNNNNNNNNNNNNNNNNNNNNNNNNNNNNNNNNNNNNNNNNNNNNNNNNNNNNGUCAGGGAUGAUUCUUGUUUAGAUCACACGCGUGUCCCUUGCUUGCAGUAUUCCAUGUUCUGUUUUGUCCAACCGUUGGAUCUUAGAUUCUAUGGCUGUGAUGAGAUCUUGAGAUUCAGAUCUGGACCUCUGGAUUCAUCCAACGGUCCAGAUUAGAUACUGCUGAGCCAAUAUUUUUUAUUCCUUAUUUUUAAUUAUCUUUAUUUUUAAAUACUGUUUUUACACUUUUUUGACAUUUUGUGUCUAAAAAAAAUUCCAAAAAAUAUUUUUUCACCAUUUUAAUUUUCUCUAAUUUUAAAAAUCAAUCCUAUUUGUUUCCUUUUAAUUUAUUUUUUUUUUGUUUAUCUCUUAUAUGAUGAUCUUAAUUAUUAUUUGUCUUAAUUCUUGCUUAUUAUUUCUUAUGUCUCAUUCAUCAUAAUAUUUCUUGUGAUUACUAACUAUUUAAUUUUUGUCUUGAAUCAUAGCAUGCACAUUUAAUUUUCCCAUCAUUUUAUUUUAUCUUUGACUUAGUGUGUAUAAAUAGGAAAUUGAUGUAAUUUUAUUUCUUGCAUUUUUAUUUUGGCAUAAAGGCCUUAGGGUUGUAUUUAGGAAUUGAUGUAAUAAUGUAGGUAACACAAGCACCGACACAUGCACCGACACUACCACAUUUUAUUUACCGCUUUCCGUUAGUUUUUGCGACGUUACGUUAGUUCUCACCGUUAGUUUAAAAAAAAAACCUUUUUAUCAAAAAAAACUAAAUAUGUCAAAUUCAAAAAAUCAUUUUUCUUAGCAACAUUUUCUCUUUAUUUUCUUAAUCAAAUUCUCAAUCAAUCUUAAUUCAACUUCAACCAUUUUUUUUUAAAUUUUAAAAUCAAUCAACCUCACUUGUUUUCUUUAUCUCAUGCCUUGAGGCCUCUUUCUCUUCUUAAAACCCAUUUCCAAAAAAAUCUUAAAAUCAACCUAACCCACCAAAGAAAUUCUUGAGUGGAACUACGUCGGUUUUGAUCCCUUUCCCAAAAGGGUACGUAGGCAGAGGACUUGUUCUUCCAAAUCAAAUAAAAAUAACAAGAAAACAUACUUCUUCUCCCUCCAUUCUUUCACUUAGACAUUAGGCAAUAAUUUUUUCAAAUGAACAAGUAUUUUAGCACAAGAUAAUCUAGGUAAGAGGUUCCUACGGAAUACCGUAGAUUCUUAGGGUGCUAGCACCUUCCCUUCGCAUAACCAACCCCCGAAUCCAAAGUCUCGAAAAGGGUUUUUACUCAUUUUUUCCCUUCCCAAGAAUAAAAAUCGAGAGUUCAAAGAUUGACGAUUCAAAUCAAUUAAUGGUUUGAUAUCCAAAAAUCGCGAGCACAGAAAUGGCGACUUCACUGGGGACCUUGUCCUACGCGGGUUAAACCCACCUAACUUUCUUUAUACUUGUGCUUCAUUAUUUCUUAUGCCUUGUGAAUACAUGUCUAACUGUUAUUGUUUUCACGUGAGGGGUGAGAAAAUGAGCUCUACACCCGAGCUUGAGGGAAAUAUAAGAUAGGAGUGGUAGACUCAUAGUGGCAUACCGAGAGUAUACUCGUGUCUUGGCACAUGUGAGAUAACCACACUUAGCGGAGGAGCUUAAAGUGAUAUAUGUCGGCGUGUUUUCUACGAACGUUUUUGGACCGAGUGUUUUCUCGGUAUCCGAUAAUAUUCGGAAGUGGUCGAGGACUUUGGGAACCUUGGUAGAACCCGUGAUACAGGUACAUUUGAAACCAUAGUCCUUACCAAAUGGCGUUGUUACCCUCGACUCCAACAUGUGGACUUAACAUCACCAUGUAUUCUAUGUACUUUAGCAUAACCAUGCAUACAUGCAUUCAUUCAUAAACAACUUUUUCCAUCAAAAAAUUGAAGGACUUAGACAAGUUUUUUUUUUUUUGCAAACAUCAUGGGUAUGGACUUUGUAAGAAUGAACACCAAGAGAUACAACUUCAAAAAAAUCUUAACUAAACUUUAGCUUUUGUUAAGAACUUUUUCUUUGGUUUCGAUCUUACCUUUUGAAAAAAGAACCUUUUGCAAUAUCUUCAUAAUUUUCAAAUGAAACCAUGUUUCUCUACCAUGUUUAAAAAUUAACUUUGAUAAGUCCUUCAAAAAAAAAAUAAUACAUUUUUGCAUACAUAUAUCAUGCAUCAUUUUUUUUCAUUCAUAGUUUCUAGUUUGUGUCUCAUACUGUAUCUUCUCCAUAAAAGGUCUAUCUGUCGGUCUAAUCGCAUCUACUACACUCGAGCAAAUCAGAAUGGAUCAUAUUGAACAAGAGAACCACAAGCUUCGUGAAGAGGUGACAACCCUCCGGACCGAGAAUGAGAUCUUAAGGAACUUAGUAUCUUUGAUGACGAUGGCACAAAGACAACCAUUAUCUCAUCCUAUUGUCAGCACUCAGGAUCAGACGGUUGCUUCCACUACCCCGAUUUCAACAGUGUUUGCUAGUAGUCCUCAACAUGCUAUGCUUGAAGGUUAUCUAUGGGGCACACCCUUUGGUUCUGGUGAAGUAUUUUGUCCUGAUGACUCUAAGGUUCAAGCUCCUUUUGUGCAACUGACAACGCCUAUCCCUCAACCGGGUCCUUUGUUCCCUCAAGCUGCUAUGAUUCAUACUACUCAGCAAGGCCAUAAACCAAUCUAUCGUUCAGGAAAUGUGGUUGCAUACGACCGGACAGCUGAACUGGAAGAAAGGUUUGACAGAAUACAAUUGGAAUUGAAAACUCUUCGUGGGAAAGAACUGUUUGGGAAAAAUGCUUAUGAUCUUUGCUUGGUUCCCAAUGUCGUGAUACCACCCAAGUUCAAAGUCCCUAAUUUUGAGAAAUACCAAGGAAACAUUUGUCCUGAGCUUCAUUUGGUAAUGUACGUGAGAAAGAUGUCUGCUUAAGUAGGUAAUGAUGAGCUCCUUAUCCACUGUUUCCAAGAUAGUUUGACUGGUGCCGCACUGAUAUGGUAUAUGGGCCUACACAAGGUUGAUAUCAAAACUUUCAAUGAUUUGUGUGAGGCUUUCGUCCAGCGAUAUAACUACAACUUGCAUUUGGCCCCAAACAGAAAGGAACUGCAAGCCAUGACCAUGAAUGAUAAUGAAUCUUUCAAAGCUUAUGCCCAACGGUGGAGAGACGUCGCUGCACAGGUUCGUCCACCUCUAGAAGAGAAAGAAUUACCGAGAUUUUCUUGGAGACUCUGGAUCAGUUCUAUUAUGAGCAUAUGCUUACAAGUGCAUCCGGCAGCUUCGUAAAUAUGAUGACUGUGGGCAUGCGUAUUGAAGAGUGGGUCCGAAAAGGACAAUUGGUCAAAGAAAGUGCUCCCACAGAUGAUUUUGAGUACGAAGAUCAGGAAAUGAGUGUGGUAGAAAGUCAGCCUCAACCACAGUAUCUGGCUUAUCACCCUGCUGCCGCUAUUAUGCCUAUCAUAAAUCCUGUUCAAAACUCGGGUUAUCAACCUCAGUUUUAACCAUAUCAACAACAGUAUCAACAACAACCUCGACAACAGGCUCCAAGAACUCAAAUUGAUCCUAUUCCUAUGAGGUAUGCAGAGUUGUUUCCAAGGUUGCUUGAAAGGAAUUUGAUCCAUACCAAGGCACCUCUCUCGGUGCCGGCAAUUUUGCCAGCAGGAUAUAGGGCUGACCUCUUUUGUGCCUUCCAUCAAGGGGCACCUGGUCACGAUAUUGAAGAAUGUUUUGCAUUUCAGAAGAUAGUUCAGAAAUUGAUUCUAAAAAACCUCAUACCUCUCGAAGAGUUUGAAUUUGAGUGUGUAAGUUAAUCCGAUAUCGGAUUUUGGUAUCUAAGGUUGACACAUGAGAUGUUUUAGCUGCAUUUGGGUCGCUGCUAAUGUUUUAUUUCUACUACUUUUUGUUCAAUUAAUAUGUUUGUUUGUUGCUUUAUGUUUUUCAAAAACAAAAAAAAAAAACCUUUCCUCCCACCUGAGGCGAAAGUGAAUUUGUUUAGGGCUUUUUGCUUUAUGUAUUUUCAUCAUUAGUGAAAGGUCGCUUGAUCCCGACUUUGUUUUAUUUUGUGCUUUUUCUGGAAAAAUGGUAAUACAAAAAACCAAAAAAAAGAAUUUUUUUCUUUAAUCAUUUCCACAUAUCUGCAUAACCAUAAUGUUUAUAUCAAUAAUCAAAUCAUGCAUUAAUAAACCCGUUGAACACUUAAACCCUGUACUCUCGCUUGACUUUGAGUUCCUUGUAUCUGAGGCUGAAGAAGAGGAUGAUGAAGAAGUUUCCACUGAGAUUUCUCGCCUACUAGGGCAUCUUGGCCGUCGUAGCUACAAAUAUCAAGAGAGUUUGUCCAGAAGAGGACUUUCAUGUACAAAGACUGGCACGAGAUGCCACCAUUUGCCUUGCAAGGAUAUUGUACUUCAAGUGAACAUUUCAGCAGGGGCAACCCCCCCUCCAUCCCUCAGUAUACAACAUAAAGACAGUGCCUUACAUGAAGGUCAAAGUCCCGUCAACGGGAGUUCCAAUGAAAGCUAAGCUUGAUGGAACUUAAAAGUGUCACUACCGUAUGGCGUGGACAGUUGUAUCAAAAGCAUGAAGCAAGUUUUCAACAAGAGAAGGCUUGUCCCCAUGAAUGUCAAGAGAGUGGCCUUGUGCUCAAAAGUUAUACUAUCUGAUUUAACCAAGUUCCAGGGGCAAUGAAUGCCUAACACAAAGAAUGAGGGUAAACUGGUAUGUCCUAUGAAUACCGAUGCAGUCAAGAAAUACUUUGUUAAAAUGAAAAAGCUCGAUAAGUCGCAAAUCUGAAAAGGCGGCUUAGGCAAAAAAGAGCAUCUCGAUGGACUGAAAACCCAAAAGGGCGGUCCAUGCAAAAGUUAGCGACAUAUAAAAAAAAAAAUGAAAAAUGAUUAUCCUGAUAGGUUGAAACCCGCAAGGGCGAUCUAUGCAAAAGUUAAGGAUCAUGACAAAGUAACUGCAUCUGGUCGGACAUGACUCAUCUGUGGCAUUCCAGCCGUUAAAAGACCUUCGACUCAUGGCAAGAUAAUUGCAUCAAAUCAUAUAUGAUUCAUCUGGGGCAUCUUAGCUGUCAAAAGGCUUCCGAUCUGAAACAUCUGCAAACCAAAGACUCAGAACAGUGAAAUUCAAAGUUGGUAGGGAGAACAGUGGUUAUUGUGUUCAAUAUACAUUUCCCAUAUAAUUACCAUUUUCCAAACUUUUUUUUAAUCCGUGGAGCCACGCCUUUCCCUGGCUACCACUCCAUUUUAUUAAUGUGAACCAAUGCCCAUUUAUUUGAAAUUCUCAUUUAGUCUAUUUUGCAAAUUUUCUUCUAUUUUUGAUGUUAAUAUGUAAAGCAAAAAAAAAAUCUUUUAAAACUUUUUUCAUGUCUUUUGAAAAGCAUAAACAAGUACAUUUUCUUUGAACUUAUGAGUAAGUGAAACAUACAUCAACAUACGUUUCAAGUACAGUUAAAACUCUGCAAGAUAAGCAUGAUCAAAAACUGUAAGAUGACCUCUGUAAAAAAAAAAAAAAAAAAAAAAAACACAAAAAAAGAAAGGCUCGCUAAGUCGAAAACCCGAAAGGGCGGCUUAAGCCAAAAACGAGCGUCCCGGUGGAUUGAAAACCCGAAAAGGCAGUCCAGGCAAAAAUUAGGGGCAUACAAAAAAAGACAAUAUUCCCGGUGGAUCGAAAACCCAAAAGGGCGGUCCAGGCAAAAGUUAGGGAUUUUCAAAAAAAAAAACAAUAUAUACAAAAAAAAAUGAAAUGAAAAAAAUGGAAAAGACAGAGGCAUCACAGUUCCAACGGGCCAAACAGAAGAAUACACCUUGAGCUUGGUUUACAAAUGGCGACUUCGGCCGGUGGUUUGAUUAACUGUGACUUCUACCUCUGGUUUGAUUAAUGGCGACUUCUGCCAAAACAUGGGUUGAUAUCCUUCUAGUGGUUUGAUGAAUGGCGACUUCUACCUGCGGUUUGAUAAAUGGGUUUACCCUUUCAGUGGUUUGUUUAACAUGCAUUACUCCCAAGAAAGGGCGAUUUCUGCCAGUUGUUUGAUUAAAGAGCUUUUACCUCUUCAGUGUAUUGAUUAUUGAGCUUCCUCUCAUCAGUGAUUGGAUAUCGAGCUUUACCCCGUCAGUGAUUUGAUUCAUCUCCAGUAAUACUAUCCCCAAUGAAGAUUGUCGAGUGUUUGUACUGCGAUGUCAGUCCGCCUUCCAUCUUACUUGUCUAGUCUUGUCAGCUUCACUUGUUGUAUAGAGUCGUCUAAAUCAUACAUUCAUACAGACAUAUAUUCAUGUACUCAUACAUUCAUUCAUUUCAUAUAUACAUAAUCAUGCAUAUAAACAUUCUUGCACAUAUAACUUGCAUACAAAUACCAUUUAUACUUUAUCGCAUUAAUUGCCUUGUGUCUUAUUUCAUCUGUAUUUCACAAAACUGUCGUCUCCAAUAUGUCUGACCCAGAAAGGUCACAUGUAGUCUUGUUUGGUCAUAUUCCUUCAGUUCGGUCUGGACUUACCUUUCGGACCAGGUUAAUCCCCUGCCAAUGUCUUUUAUACCUUUUGGACCAGGUUAAUACCCUGCAAAUACCUUUCAUGUCUUUUGUACCAGGUUAAUACCCUGCCAAUACCUUUCGUACCUCUUGGACCAGGUUAAUCCCCUGCCAAUGUCUUUUGUACCUUUUGGACCAGGUUAAUCACCUGCCAAUAUCAUUUCUACCUUUUGGACCAGGUUAAUACCCUGCCAAUACCUUUGAAUACCUUUUGGACCAGGUUAAUCACCUGCCAAUAUCAUUUCUACCUUUUGGAUCAGGUUAAUACCCUGCCAAUACCUUUCGUACCUCUUGGACCAGGUUAAUCCCCUGCCAAUGUCUUUUGUACCUUUUGGACCAGGUUAAUCACCUGCCAAUAUCAUUUCUACCUUUUGGAUCAGGUUAAUACCCUGCCAAUACCUUUCGUACCUCUUGGACCAGGUUAAUCCCCUGCCAAUGUCUUUUGUACCUUUUGGACCAGGUUAAUACCCUGCCAAUACCUUUGAAUACCUUUUGGACCAGGUUAAUCACCUGCCAAUAUCAUUUAUACCUUUUGGACCAGGUUAAUACCCUGCCAAUACCUUUCAUGUCUUUUGUACCAGGUUAAUCCCCUGCCAAUACCUUUCAUACCUUUUGGACCAGGUUAAUACCCUGCAAAUACCUUUGAAUACCUUCGGACCAGGUUAAUCACCUGCCAAUAUCAUUUAUACCUUCGGACCAGGUUAAUCCCCUAUCUUUUAUACCAAUCAUGUCUUUACUUUUGCCACCCGUCGGCUAAUCAUGUCUUUACUUUCGCCACUCGUCGGCUAAUCAUGUCUUUACUUUCGCCACUCGUUGGUUAAUCAUGUCUUUACUUUCACCACUUGUCGGCUAAUCAUGUUGUUAUUUUCGUCACUCAUCGUCUAAUCAUGUCCCUACCUUUACCUUGAAGCAAUGUUAACGAACAUCAAUCAUAAACAUUACUUAUCAUUUCUUUCCCCAGUGAUAUCUGUCCAAUUGUCCCCAGUCAGUCUUUAUGCAUCAUCUUUACAUUCAUACUUACAUCAUAUUUAGUCGUAUUGUCACAUUCAUCAGCAUCACACCUCUGGCGUUUCAAAUGGUCCAAAAUUGGCGUUUUUAUAUAUUUAAGUCUCUCCGACCCUUUGGUUUAAAAAGUUCUCUUUUAAAACCUUUGUGACGAAGAAACUUAAAUAGGGGCAUCUGUCAUACCCCAAUUUUGGACCGUUUAAAAUCUCUUGUCCGUAUUUUAAAAUUGUUCACGUUCCCAUUUAUUCGUUGUUUUUUACCAUUUAAAGUUCGUGUUUCUUGUCUUUAGUUAUUCAAAAAAGUUUUAUUUUUACGUUAAAUCAACGUUUGCAUUUCACAACGAUUAAAACCGUCUCACUUUCAUUUUUAUGACGCAUUUUUGUUAUAUAGUCUUUUUAGCCGUAACGAUCAUGUCUAAAAAAAGAAGGCCUAAUCGCAUUUUAAAAGACGUUUUUUAUUAAUCAUUUCAAUCAAAAUUUCGGCAGGGAGGAUACUUUGAAGUACCUCAUGUCAGAUUUCGAAGGGACUUUUUUUUUUUUUUUUUUUUUUUUUUUAGGUUAGUUUGUUUAUUAUUAUUUUAUUUUUAUUAUUAUUUAGGAAAAAAAAAACAAAGAAGUGAAAGUCACGUGAAUGACUUCCUUCCUUUUAUUUUCUUUUCUUUUUUUUUAUUAUUUAUUUAUUUUAUUCAUUUUUGUUUUUAUUUUAUUUAUUUAUUUAUUUAUUUGUUAAAAUCUUUUUCUCCAAGUCUCAGCUGCAGGGGCAUUUUGGUCAUUGACUUGUACCAGAGCCAACCCUAGUUUGUCACUAUAAAAACACUGUCAAUCAUUGGGAAAUGGGUCAGAGAAAAAUCACUGUAGCUGCGUCAGAGUCAAAUCAGUCCCUCAACCCACACAAACCCUAAUUUCCUUUCUCUCAUACAUUUUUUUCGGAUCAAAAAAACAGGAUUUCCAGAUAAAGAAGAAAGAAAAGGCUCAACAACAUUCAAUAUCAAAACANNNNNNNNNNNNNNNNNNNNNNNNNNNNNNNNNNNNNNNNNNNNNNNNNNNNNNNNNNNNNNNNNNNNNNNNNNNNNNNNNNNNNNNNNNNNNNNNNNNNAAGUGGAUACCUAUUCUUGAUAGUUACCUUGUUCAACUGCCGAUAAUCAAUACACAACCGCAUACUACCAUCUUUCUUCUUUACUAGCAAAACCGGCGCUCCCCAAGGUGAAACACUUGGUCUAACAAACUUCUUCUCAAGCAAGUCUUCUAACUGUUUCUUCAACUCAGAUAAUUCUGAAGCAGACAUACGAUAAGGUGCCAUCGAGACCGGCUUCGUUCCAGGAACAAGAUCAAUAGAAAACUCGACUUCUCUCUCCGGAGGCACAUCAGGAAUCUCAUCUGGAAAAACUUCAGGAAAAUCACACACCACCGGUAGCCUAUCAAUCACUGCUUGAUUCUCAACAGAUAAAGAAGCCAUCAAGGAAAACAUCAAGAUACCAUCGCGUUCCAGUUGCUUCAGCUGCUUAGUAGAUAAAAACUCUGCACCACUUUCCUCUUCGACGGAAGAGAAAUGUACUGACUUGCUAAAACAAUUAAUAAGAACGUGAUUGUACUCUAACCAGUUCAUACCCAAAAUCACAUCCAUACCACUCAAAGGUAGACAAACUAAAUCCAUUUCAAAAUCACGACCAAACAUAGACAAAGGACAUUUCAAAAAUACGAGAGAAGUAGUCACCGAACCCUUAGCUGGAGUUUCGACAACCAUCUCUCCAUUCAUAUCAGACAACUCAAGACCCAAAGCAGAAACACAAUUGAAAGCAAUAAAGCAAUGCGUAGCACCAGUAUCAAUAAUAGCAACUAAAGGAGUAUUAUUAAUAUAGCAAGUACCUCUGAUCAAACGAUCCUCAUUUUCUGUCUGAGUCCCAGUCAAAGCAAAGACCCUACCAGUAGUCGGCGCCCUCUUCGGCUGAGUACACUGAGAACUAAUGUGACCUUCUCCAUUGCAAUUAAAGCACACAAUGUCUGUACGAUUGCAAUCAGCUACUACAUGACCUUUCUUGCCACACCGGGCACACUUCUUGAUUUCCUCGGAACAGGCGUUGCUCUUGUGGCCUUUCUCACCACAAUUGAAGCACACAAUCUCUGCAGCAUCCUUCUUCUUAGGCCGCCUAACAUCGACCAUCUUCUGUUUACCUUUGUCAGCGGGGGCACUGUACGGCUUAGGACGACUCUGCUGUCCCUUACCCUUCCUUUCAUUCACUACCUUGUAGUGAGCCUUCGUAUCCUCUUCAUAGAUCCUGCAGCUAUUAACCAAGUCCUGAAAAACUCUCAGCUGUUGGUACCCAAGCGCCCUCUUGAUGUCGGGCCUCAAACCGUUCUCGAACUUGAUACAUCUCGAGAACUCAGAAUUCUCUGCAGUAUAGUGCGGAUAGAACUUAGACAGCUCCACGAACUUGGCAGCAUACUCUGUCACGGACAUGUUUCCUUGCUUCAACUCAAGGAACUCGAUCUCCUUCUUCCCGCAAACAUCUUCCGGAAAGUAUCUUCUCAGGAACUCCCUCCUGAAAACAGCCCAAGUCACAACAGCUCCCUCCUGCUCAAGGGUAGGUAGAAUAGCAACCCACCAGUCAUCAGCUUCCUCGGCCAGCUGAUGAGUACCAAACCGAACUUUCUGAUCUUCCGUGCACUGCAUAACCCGGAAAAUCCUCUCUAUCUCUUUAAGCCACGUCUGGGCUCCAUCAGGGUCAUAACGUCCUUUGAAAGUCGGAGGGUUCUUCUUCAUGAACGUCUCCAACAUCCUAGCUUCAGCAUUCGCACCAGCAUUCACGUUAGGUUGUUGUCCCACAGCUUGGGCAACAGCUUGUAGAGCAGCAGCUAACGCAGCAUCGUUCCUUCCAGCCAUUCUGAUAUUCUACAAAAGUAGCAACAACAGUAUAAGAUAGUAAUAUAAUAUUACUAAGGCUCGACACAACUCUCUAAUUGACCGGACGGACCGACCUGCUCUGAUACCAAUUGUAACACCCCGUUUUCCCAAUAUACAAAUUUCGUAAACAAUUAUCAGAGUAAAAUCCAUAAACGGGAUAUCACAUAGAAACGUAAUCCAAAAACAGUUAAAUAAUAAUUUAACCUUCACAAAUAUCUUUAACAUAGCAGCGGAAUACUAAUUCAAAAAUCAUAAACCAGUUUUGGCACGCAGGCCUCGUCAUAAUUCUUAAAAGAAAACAGUUCAUAUUCAUAAAUAGCAUGAAAGUCACGUAAUAGAAUGAAGCAUGCAUAAUUCAUAAAGCCCCAUCCCGUUACGUAUCAGAGCGACCUAGAAGACACAGUGAAGGCAAGGCCACUCACGACGGAAACAGCACACUAAGCUCGAUCACCUGCACGUUACCCACGGUCGAGGUAACAUUCAAACAGAAGGGGUGAGAUUUCAUAACAGAAUAACAUUAAAUAAUGCAAUUAAGAAUUAUAAGUUAACAUCAUAGUCAUUUCAUUAAUUAGCUUUGCAUAAUUGCUAAACUAUUAACACGUAAUCGUAUAUCCAUUAAUUAGGGAUAACAUAACAUAAUCAAUAAACACAUAUCACGGAAUCACAUAUUCAAUCAUUAUCAACAAGGCAUCUUAAUCAUGACAAUGUGACAAUGCUCCUAGACUCCAUAUAUGCAUGUGGUACCAAUCGUCAUCAUAAGUAUUAAUAUACUUUAAUCGUGCGGAGGACAAAGCUCCUAUAAAACGUGCGGAGGACAAAGCUCCUAAUAUUCGUGGUGAGGACUAAGCUCAAUGAUAUGCUAUGCAUGGACUCUUAACAACAAAACAUCGUAUUCAUCGUAAUCGUAUGCAUUCAAUAACUUGAAGCGAAACGUCAUCAUUUCUUUAAUUCAAAAAUAAACAUUGCAUACUCAGUUAAAUAACAGCAGCAGCAUAAUUCAAGUCACAUAACAGCAGGGGAUAUAAACAUAUCAACAUUAAUUCAAUAGAAUCAUAAUCGUUUCAUUAUAUCUUACAUAUUGCAUAAUACUUAAAUCAUGCUCAAUUAACAUCAAUGUAUCUUAAUAGCUUUACAAACUGCAUUAAACGUUAUCUUAGGGUUUCAUUACCAACUAGGGGUUCACUCUUGAUCAAAAGGUGCGACACAGAUCGCACAAACACACAAAACACUACAUUCUGGACUUGCUCGCGAGGCGAGAGUUCUUACUCGCCAUGGCGAGUACCACUCAAACUCCCAACUAAUGUUGUUCUGGGUUCAAUCCUGUCCUAAAAUCAUUCCUAAUCAUCUCUAGGUAUGUUUAGGCACUUAAAGGCACUCAAGGUCCAACUAAAAAGUCAAAAAUACAAAAUAUGACAUGCACUCUGCCUAAGCUCGCGAGGCGAGGAGGGGUUGCUCGCCAUGGCGAGUUGCACCAGACAACUCGCGAGGCGAAGGAAAGGGGCUCGCGAGGCGAGCGAUGAAGAUCAUCACUCGCGAGGCGAGGAUCAUCACUCGCCGUGGCGAGCGAUGAACAGGAGCACGGGCAGACUAGGGUUUUUCUCAAAAAUCCAUCCUACAACAUGUUUCAAAGCUUGGUUUUGAUUCCAGAAUUCAUCCUAAACAUAUUCUAAGGUUAAAGGACGGUUCUUUCAUCAAUCUAAACAAGUUUUACCGUUUAUUCUCAAAUUUUAGGGUUUUGACCUAAUUCCAAAACUUCUCUAAAUCAAUCCUAACUUUGUCAACUAAUCAUCAGAAUUACAGAGGUUAAUGCUACUGAGUUAUUAGUCCCACCCUUACCUUGUAUGAAGAAAAAUCGCAGCCCUCUUGGUCUCUUGUUCCUCUCUAAGCUUUUCUCCCUUUUUCCAAAAGUUUUCACGUACAAUCAGUUUUUCUAAAACUAGGUCUAGCCUUUUUAUAUCCUCUCUCAAUUACUUAUCUUAUUUCACUUUCUCCCCCAAAACUAUCUAAAAUAUCAAAACAGCCCUCAACUAAAUAUUUUUCAAAUCUUUAUUUUAUUUAACAAUAAAAUAAAUUCUCUAAUCUUAUCAAAUCCUCCAAAACUCAUAACUUAUCACGUUAUCAAUCAAAUCAUCAAAACAUAUCAAAAUCAUGCACAUAUUAUAUAAUUAUAAUAUAAUCGCCUAAACUUGAUUAAAUAAUGAUUAAACGAAAGUGGGCGUUACAUCUUUGCCUAAUGUGAUGAGUUGUUUCGUUAGUUUUUGAGUGUCAUUUGUUUAAUUUUUAUCUUAAAUUUUAGUUUUUGAAUGUCAUUCGCUUUCAUGAAGAAGAAGAAAAAUUCAACCUUUAUCAUUUAAAAUUCCUUUACUUUUGUUAUUUCAUGGGAUCUUGCAAUAGAAAAAUGUAGAUGUAUUUUGAUGAGUUGACAAAAUACAUAUUUAUUGGGCAUUUUAAAUAGAUGUACAUAUUUUAAUAAGUCUAAUAUUUUGGUAGCAAACUUUUUCAAAAAAUCCAUAAAAUCGCCAUCAAUUCAUUAUGUUUCCUAUACUCUCACGAAUACACCAGAAAGUUUAUCAGUAAUACAUAAUUUAAUUUCUCCACUCUCAUUGGCAGAUCCAAUUUCAUCUCUUCUACGAACACAUAUAAGUAACAUGUAUACUAUGACCCUAGAAUUUUUUUUUGUCAAAGUGAUAAUAGAUUAGAGCCUCUUAAGCAUAUGGAUAGUAGUUCAAUUUCUGUCUCAUGCGUAUUGAAAAUAUUUGGAUGAGAUGAGAGAACUCACCUUAUGUGUCCUGCAGAUUUUCGAACCAAGAUUAGUCAUUGCUAAACGGUGGUGUAAACUCCUACCAAUUUCAUAAUAACUCGAUAAAAUAUCAAAUAUAAAGUUAGUUAGCAAACUUAAUUGAUACAUUUAAUUAGUAUAUCUAAAAAAACAUUAAAAAUCAAUAUUUAUUAAUAAUGAUAAUAAUAAUAACAAUAAUAUUUGAAAAUUGAUAAUUUCAGCAAGCAUUUAUUUUGUAUUACUUUCAACCGAGAUUUUUCAUUGAUAAGUUAAUCAAUUGUUAGAGCAUCCAUAACGGUCCUCUCCGUUUGAUUGUUUAAAUGAGUCUCGUAUGUAAAUGUCACUUGUUGUUAUAUAAUUAAUAUUUAAUAAGAUUUAAUCUCUCAAACUCUAGAGGUAUUUUACCAGAUUAACUUAAGGAUUUUCUCUGAGUUUGUUUCUUUUCUUUUCCUCAUCUUCUUUUGUUAUUGUUACCUUUCAUUCGUACGUUUAGAGCGUGAUACAACUGGUUCAUAAUUGAACCCCAUUUUGACUAAAAAAAAUAAAAUAUCUCUCAAACUCAACCCUUCAAAAAUAUAUCAAAUGGGCCUUAGUAAUAAAUAUGUAUCAGUAAACUUUGACAGUAGUGUAUUUAUUCAUUCAUAAUUAUCUAAUAUUUGAAAUAUUAAAUCAGUUCAAUUAUAAAUUUAAAAAAAAAAGUAUAUUUUUUCAAUCCUUUUAAUAAUUCAAAAAAAUAACUAAAAUUCGAAAAGACAAAAAAAAAAUGAUUGGAAAUUACACGGUUUAAGUAACAACUUUGCAUAUGGUCGAAAUCAUAGUAAAGAAACAAAAAUGUACUUUGAUUGACAAUGACGGAAUUUACAACGAAGUGAUCAUGUGUAACACACAAAUAGUAGGAGAGCGAGGGUGGUCUAUAAAAAUACGAUUCUAAAUAGAAGAAAGAUCCUAUUGUAGAUGGUCUUAACCACCCUUGAGUGAGAAAAUAAUUAUUUCAUGCUAUUAUUUAUAAGAUCAUCAUGAGAAAUAAAAUCAAUCAUGUAAUAAAUUAAUAUUCAACAGCGUUUCAAAAAGUAGUAAGAAUUUAUUUAUAUAAACAGAAAAUCAAAACAAACUGAGUCAUGCUAUGAUGAUGAAAUCACAAAAACAAACGAAAGAAAAAUUAAAAUAUAAGGAAAGGUCUUAUUUAACUUAAAGGGAAAGUUUUUUUUUUUUUUUGAAGGGGUGAUUUAAGGGCAAAAUUGACCCCAGAAACUAACAUUUUUCCCUUCCCUCUAUAAAUUUACAAACAACUAAUAUUUGCUUAAAAAAAAUAAAGAACCCAACACAAAGACGAAAUAAAUAAGUGGAACAAAACUUUCUCUCAAAAUAGAUUGUUAUGAAUUAUCGACUAAUUAAUUUUUGUAAAGUCUGUUUAGAAGAUUAAUAAUUUUAACUUUGAGUAAAAAAAAACACGAAAGUGAUUUAAGUAAUUUAAUCUAAAAUAAAUGGAAAUGAGAUAGAAAAUUAUCUGACAAACAACAGGGUUUGUUGAUUUAUAUAUCUAUAUAUAUCAUUUUGUUUGGAUUAUUUAUAGAGGAUUUUGAAAUUUUUACUAUGUAUAUAAACUUUUUAGUUAAUGUCCUCGUGAGCAAAGUUCAGUUGGUAUGGACAAUGCAUAAUAUAUGCAAGGUCCGGAUUCUGCACUUCAUUGAUUUUUUUUUCUCUAUUUAUCUCUUCCUCUCAAUAGUUUUUCGUACUAUUUGUUAUAUUCUUCUUCCCAAUGUUUUUCAUACUAUUUCUUAUUAUGUGGUUGUUUGACACCAAUAACGAAAAAUGUAGACAAACAUGUGUACUAAUCGAAUAAGAUAAUUGGUUUUGGAGACACUGGAAAAAAUUAGAGUAGUAAGUUUUUGUUUUUUUUUUUUGACAAAUAGUGAGUAUUGUUGAAAACCCAAAAAUAAAUAAAAUUGAAAAGAAUUUUGAAAUCUUUAGUUCAAUAUCGGAAUUGUAAGAAGAAUGGUGAAAUUAGAAUUAAUAUCUAUAGAAAAAAUUCAAGCAAAUCACUAAAUUAACGUAUAGAUCCAAAAUUUGCUGCAAAAAUAAUUUAUAAUAUAUAUUAUAAUUAUAAAAAAAAUUACAUCAUAUGAAAAGGAAAAAAAAAGUAUAAAGUUGUUUUUAAAAACACAUGAGUAAAUAAAAAACAUAUGAGUAAUUUAUUUUAUACUUAUCACAAAUAUUUUUAUUUUUUUUCACAAAUAAUAUGAACUUAAAUAAUGUUUUUUUAUGUACUAUUAAUUCAAUCAUUCCUUAUAUAUAAAUAAAAACCUUUUUCUUUAACCCUUCUUAUCACCAUUGUUUUUUUUUUUUUUUGCUUCUACAAAUAAUAUGAACCUUUUUAUAGAAACAAAUAAUAUGAACUUAAUCAAUGCUUUUUAUACACCACCACAUCAUUCCUUAUAGAGAAAACGAAAAAGUUUUGCUUUGUAUUUGACCUUUAAAUGUUGUUUCCUAUCUUGAAUAUAGACAUCGAUUUUACUAAUGUUUGCUUCCUUAUUAAAUUAUAACAGCUAUGUGUUAUCAUUUAAAAAAAAUGUCGGUACAUGUUAUAUUUGUUUUUUAUCUCUUAUUUGCAUAUCUUGUGCCUAGUUUAGAUGCUAUUAAUAUUUUUAUUUUUUGAUUUUAUAGAGAGAAAACACCUUAAAGCGACGUUAAUGAGUCAAGUGUGAGUUUACGUUCUACAUUGAAUUGAAUAGUAGAUUUUGAAUAGAAAAUAAGUGUGAUGACUCAUAUAACCAAGGUCUUUAGAUUUUGUGUAAUGAUGUGGUGUCAAUCUCACUUAUAUGGUCGGUAUUGGCCUAAUACGAUGAUCUAACUCAGUGCAGGCUCACUCGCAAAUCCCAACGUUACGAUAAACUUUUUUUUUUAUUUUUGAAUGUCAUUUGUUUAAUUUUUUAUCUUAAAAUUUAGUUAUUGGAUGUCAUUUUCUUUCAUUAUAUAUUUUUUAUACAAUCUAUAUUACUUCAAAUUCCUUCAUUUUUUGUUUUUGAUGGGAUUUAUUGAAAAUUACAUGUGUUAUGUUGAGUUGAAAACAUAUAUGAUUAUUACAAAUUCAAAAAUAAUGUGGCAUUUUUUUAUUUACUCUAAUUUUUUUGCAAAACAUUUAAACAAAAAUUUAUAACUCCUUCAAUUAACCCAUAAAAUUAUCAAUAACUCACUCUAUUAUCUAAACAGCCAAACAAAGCAUACACUCUUUGUAGGCACUAAAAAUAAAAUAAAAUAAGACUUAAAUCCACUUUUAAUCUCCCUAUUUGUUUUAAAAGAAAAUGAUUUUUUAGUCCAUCUAUUUUUACCACCAUUAUUUGUCCCCUAUUUGUACUUUUUUCUAAAGUUUCAUCCUCAUCACAUUUUAGGCUAAUUUGUUCUGAUGUGCCUAUUCAUAAUGACGUGAAAGAACUUAUAUCAAUGUGAAUUAUAUGUGUAGAUCAUUUUAAUGUAACAAUGUUUAUUUUGAAUAUUAAUGUAGAAAGUUUUAUAGUAUCAGCUCAUCACAAUUAAUCAUGUUUGUGACUUUGAAUAUGGUUAAGAUAAAAUCAAAUGUUUGAAUUGAUCUAAAAGUUGUGAUUGUUAAUGAGAAUAUAAUUAAUCAAAUCCAAUAGAAUUAAUAGGACUCUAUUUUUUACUCUUAGCUUAUACGUCACGUUUUCGUGAUCGAAAACCCCCCUUGUUUUUUACUUGAUUGAAAAAUAUUUGUUUUUGAGUCGUAUGUUUGGAUCAAUAUAAUAUGGACAUCUAGAAAAUGAUCUAAAAGAAACCCCGAUGCAAUAUUUUUAUUUUAAGGAAAAUGCAAUAUUUUAUUAAAGUUUGCUAAAUAUAAUAAGAGUCAACUUUACACUUGUUCCAUAUUAGACACGUUAACUUUUUAUAUAUAUUUGAGUGCUUAAUGCUCUUGAAGUUUUUCUUUAAACAAUCAAUUUAAAGUUCUUUCACAAACAAAUGUCAUUUUAUAACCUUUUUUUAAUGUGCUACCAGGGGAAAAAUGAUUGUGUGGCAUAUAACUUAUAAUUUAUGACAUAUAAUUAACAAUUAAAAUUGAAAUAUUCAAUUUUAAUCCCUCAAAAAAAAAAAUUGAAAUACAAUUGAAAUCUUCAUUAUAAUUUUGAAUGUUCACCAUAUAUAUGUGAAGUUUUUUCUAUGCGAAAAUUUAUUUGACUCUUAAAUGAUUAUUAAUGUUUAUCAAGUAGAAAUUUAAUGACAUUCAUUUUUUUUUAAUGUGCUACCACAUGAACAAUUAUUGUGAAUGAAAAUUUUAUGGCAUAUAACUUAUAAUUUAUGACGUAUAAUUAAUUAUUAAAGUUGCAAUGCAAUUGAAAUGUUUAUUAUAAUUUUGAAAGUUCACCAUAUAUAUAUGUGAAGUUUUUUUCUCUGCGGAAAUUUAUUUGACUUUGAAAUGAUUAUUAAUGUUCAUCAAAUAGAAAUUUAAUGACAUUCAUUAUGUAAUUAUUAGUUAAGGAGUGUUUACGUUCUUAUUUUGCUAAUUUUUUUUUUAACUUUUCUAAUAAUGACAUGUUCCAGUAUAUUCCUUUCUAAAUAUCCUUUCAGACACUUUUGUUAGUCUAAUAGUAUAUGCUCGUGAGAUUGAUCUCAUUGAAUUAAUCGGUCCUUGAACUGAAUAUAGAGUUUAAAAAAAACCAUUUUAAACACUUUCCUCGUUUGAUUUAUAGAUAUUAUUGAAAAAACUUAAGAUACUUUUUAGUUUACAAACAUAAGUUAUUUUUUAUUUGUUUACUACAGUGAAUACAACAUAAUAUUCAAAUGAGUUUUAAGAUAAAUUACUCAAAACAACUUUAUAUUUUGGGGCAUAUAAUGUAAACAUGUUUAUUUUGAAUGUUAGUGUAGAAAUUUUAUAGUAUCAGCUCAUCAAAAUCAAUCAUGUUUGUGACUUUGAAUGUGGUUAAGAUAAAAUCAAAUGUUUGAAUUGAUCUAAAAGUUGUGAUUAUUAUUGAAAAUAUAAUUAUUCAAAUCCAAUAGAAUUUUAGGAGUCAAUUUUUACUCUUAACUUAUACGACAUGUUUGCUAAAAAUAAUAAGAGUAACCUUUACACUUGUUCCAUAUUAUUAGACACCCCUUACCUUCGCAUAUAUAAAUUUUAAGUCAUUUAUUUUUACAUUUUCUUUUUUCAAACCUAACAUGUAAACAUUUUGUUUUUACAAAAAAUGUUGUAACAAACGGGUCUUUUUUACGAAAUAAGUCCUUGAUAGGUAUUAAGUUAAUUUUUUUUAAUGAACCAUAUGUUUGGUUUUUUUAACUAAAACAAUUUUUUAUCCUAGAGGAAAUUAACAUGGGAGACAAUUUACAUGAAAUCAUAGGGUUGCUCUUGUUGAUAUUAAAUUAAAUACUAAUUAAAAGAAAUUUUCUAAUAUACAUGUUCUUGAGGACUUUAUAAGCCUUAUUUGAACAGUUUUUUUUCUCAUUUAUAUUCAUUCAUGAAUUUUCAUUGAUAUUUAAUCAUUUCUUUAAUUUAAUUAUAUGUUUUAUUUGACAAUAUAAUAUUUCUCUUUCAAGCAAGAGAAGUCAAACACGAAAGUUGAUUCAUUUUUAAAAACACCGGAAAUAGAACAUGUACAUGAUAUAUUAUUCAUGUAGAUUUCUUUAACAAUUAUUAGUUAUAGUGCUUGAUUAAAAUGGAAUCAGAAUCGUGAACUUAUAUGUAUUCCACAAUAAUAAAAACAAAAGAGAAAGAUGUGAGAAGAGUUGAUCAAAUUACUAUUCAUGUUUUUAAGUUUGAAUAUAAAAUAAUAUAUAUUAAAACAAAAAUAAAUAAAAUGAAUAUAACUAAAAUGACCACAUUGAAGUAAAUAGCCAUGAUAUCAAUAUGAAACAUGUUUUUUUUUUUUUUUUCGCGAUUAAGAUAUAUAUUCAUACAUUAGAACCGUAUUCAUUGAACAGAUAACUGAGUUAUCGUUUACAUCACAAACGAACCAAACAAAAAGGAACCAAAUACAUGCAAUUCAUUAGAACCAUGAUUCUUUUACUGAAUUGAUUUCAAACAUGUUAUCAGAAAUUGCAUGAAAGAAGUGAGGAGAUGAAAAUGAUGCAAGUUUCAUCAACUAUAUAUAGGGGGGAAACCAACAAAUUACCUUUGAAUCCCAAACCGUCAUUAAAUAAUAUGAUGAUGAAAAAAAUGUCACAUAUUAGAAUUCAAUUGGCUUAGAAAUCUCAUUGACACGUGUUAUGAUCUAAUUGGUUUCAUGACAUGAUUGAAACAUAUAGAAAAGAGGGAGGAAAAGAAAUAUGUUAAUUUUUUUUUUUUUUACAAAAGAAAUAUGUUCAUUUGUGAGGUUUAAUUUUAAACAAAUCAAAAAAGUUAGUGCAAGUUAAUUACAUUUACACACCAUAAAAUAAUUCCUUUUUAAGUGUAAAUUAUUUUUAAUAUAGAUAAAAUGACUAUUGAUUCUAUGCAAGAUAAAUAUUUAUAUGAUAUACAUUAUAAUUACAAUUAUUUUUAUAAUUGAUGCAAUAUGAUUGGUUCAACAAAAUAAUAUUUUCACAGUCUAGAAGUCCUAGCUCAACUGGCAAAUGCCGAAAUUGUAAGGCCGGACGUCAUGAUCCGGGUUCGAACCCGGGACCUCACAAUUGUGUGUGAGUUUAGUUUCAGUGGUUUACCACUUCAUCUAAGACAAAAAAAAAAAAAAAAAUAUCGACACAUGUUAAUAUAUUAUUGAAAGAAUUUGUUCAAAUGACGUGAAUCAAAUAUUAUUUAGAGUACAAAGAUGAUGCAUUCUAAUUUUUUUUUCUUUGAUUUUUAGUAAAAGUAAAAUUUGAAGUUCCAAUUAAAAAUAAAAAAUAAGACGUAUCAAUACAAAAAUGAUGCAAUAACAAAACAAUAAAUUUUAAAUUUGAUUUUCAGUCCAUAGAAUUUUUACAUGAUUAAUCACAAUAAUUAUUUAAAAAAAAUCAAAAAUUGAUUACCAUUUGGUUGCCAAAUUUGUAGAUUCAAUCACGGUUGUCAAAAUAAGUAUCUUCCAAUUAUCAAAUUUUUCGUUUACCAAAAUUCAUGUCAUUUUAUAGUUUAAAUAAAAAAAACAUUAAAUACACCUUAGAAUUCUAGCAUAUUACAUUUUGUUGUGUAAAUCAAAUAAAACAUUAAAUGUACCUAACAAUAUAAGCAUGUCAUGUGUACUUUUCAAAAAAAAUAGUGCAAAUAUAUAUAAUAAAGAUUCUUAUAUCAAUUAACUUUUCUUUGAUUCUAUACAUAUAUAAGCUCUUGAUACAUAAAUGAAUAGUAACGUAUCCACAAAUAUAUAAUGGUAUACCCAUAAGGUUAGGAAAAAACCAAUACAUCUAAUAUUUAGUUUCAUAACACAUCAAAAGAUUAUGGCAUAUCAAAGUAUAAGAAUAUGAUAGCUAAUUUCACCCCAAUGCUUGGUAAAAGGAGAGAAACCCUUUGCUUCAAAAUCCCAUUAAAAAAAAAAAAACUUCUCCAUACAUUGCUGAGUAUAUUUUGAUACUUUUAAAAGCUUGCAUUAAAUCAAGGAUAUUAGCAUAAUUCUGAACUAGAGACGGAAGAAACGAUGUGGUGGAAAGUGCCUGCAAAUUUAGCCGAUUUAUAGGACAAUUAGAGAUGUAGUUUUGUUAAGUCAACUUUUUUGUAGUAAUUAAAUUUUAAUGAAAAUGAAUAUGCAUUAAAAUCACAUCAUGUGACAAUUUCAAGUCAACACAAUUCUCUCUCAAUAAUAUUCUGCUACACAAUUUUAUAAUAAUUUUUACUAAAAUUUUGCUGCACUUUUUUUCUUUAGAGUCAUUUUCACCAAUAUUUGACUACGCGUUUUUCUAAUAUUUUUCUACAUGUUUUUUGUCAGUCAUUUUCACUAAUAAUUAGAUUCAUUCUAAUUAAAAUUUCACUAAUAUUCUCUCAAUUUUUUGUUGUACACUAUUCUUCUACAUGUUUAUUUGUGGGGUAAUUUUUUUUGUUCAAGUGACCCUCAUGAAUCGUUAACUUUUAUCCAUCUUAAGAGUUAUUUAAUUUUUUAUUUUGAAACAAAGAACCAAUUACGAAAUAAUUUUCACAACCAUUAAACUCUUUUUCUUUUGCGACGAAUCAUAUUUAUAAUUUUUUCGUUUAGAAUGAUUGAAUGUGACUUUUUUGUUGUUGUUGUGUGUGCAUGUCACAUAUAUCAAAUUUGUAUGUCACACUUAAAAUCUGAUAAACAAAUGUACAACAACAUUAAUGAGAGAAUCAACUUACUGAAAUUGAGAAUCAGAUAAAAAAAAAUUAUGUUAAAAUUGGGGAGUCAUAAAUUAUUUAUGUAGAAAUCUGUAUACCUUACAUUAGAGUCUUUUUUAUUUAAAGGACCUUACAUUAGAGUUAGAAUGAGACAAUGAUGUCAAAGUAUAAGAAAAAUGUGUGAUGCACUGUUUAAUUGAAAGAAGUUGUGUGAAUUAUUUUUUGUUUGAUCAAAUAAAAAAAAUUAAUUAACAAAUUUAAAUGAGGACAGAGAAAAGGCGAAUGGAAAAUUUAACCUUGCCAAUUAACAUUGCCUUAUAUAUAGUGUAAUAAAAAUUGGGAAAUUUAAUCAUCAUUUGCCAAGUGGCACAAUGCAUAUGUGGAGAGCCUAUUAGAAAAGCAGCAUUUAAUAAAGGUCAAUGUAUAACUUUUGCAAUUGUAUAUAAUAUAGAUAUAGUUAUAGAUAUAGAUAUUGGAACAAUAUAAAUGUCUUAUAAGCAAAAAUAAUGGUUAGUGGUUACACUAUUGUAUGGUUUUACUAAUACAUUACAUUAUUGUGUAUUGGCUAACACAAAAGACAGGAAAAUGACAAGAAGUUUGAAACCACACGUACCAAUCUUGUUUUAUUUAUGCUACUAUAACACACAUACUCAUCCGUAUUCUUCCUUCUCAUACUCUUCUCAUUUCCUCUUUAUUCACUACUCUCAUGGCUCUACUUCAAUCAUCCAUCUCUUCCUCCUCUUCCUUUUCCUAUGGAUUCACCUAUGACGUGUUCCUUAGUUUUAGAGGUAGUGACACUCGUUAUGGUUUUACUGGAAAUCUCUACAAAGAUCUUUGUAGGAAGAGAAUUCGUACCUUCAUUGAUGACAAAGACCUUCAACGAGGUGACGAAAUAACACCGUCACUUUUCAAGGCCAUUGAAGAGUCUAGGAUUUUCAUUCCUAUUUUGUCUAUCAAUUAUGCUUCUUCUUCCUUUUGCUUGGAUGAACUUGUCCACAUUAUUCACUGCUUCAAAGAAAAUGGGCGCCUAGUUUAGCCAGUUUUCUACGAUGUGGAACCUUCUCACGUGCGACAUCACAAGGGCAGUUAUGGUAAAGCACUGGCCGAGCAUAUUGAGAGGUUAAUAGCACGGAUAGCAUGGAGAGGUUGCAGAAAUGGAAGAUGGCUCUUACUCAAACUGCUAACUUCUCAGGCCACCAUUUCAGUCCUGGGUAACCUACUUAACUAAUGUUUUGUGUUCUUACAUAUAUAUUUCUUUAAUUUUCUAUUUUCUAACCGAUUCAUCUUACAGUUGAAAUUGGAAAUAUUAAUUUUAUUCUUAACAAGUGUAAGUUACUUGUAUGUCAAAACAAUAUUUGAAUUGUAUUCAUACAACAGUUAUCAACACAUUGAUGUUAUUGUGAAUUUGCGAUGCAUUUACUCAAACUUAUUUGAUUGGGUAGGAAUGGCUAUGAAUACGAGUUUAUUGAGAAGAUAGUCAAAUACGUAUUCAGGAAGAUCAGUUGUGUUCCUUUAUAUGUUGCGGAUUACCCUGUAGGUCUCGAGUCUAGGAUCCUAGAAGUAAAUUCACUUAUAGAUGUUGGAUCUAAUGGUAAAGUUCAGAUGCUAGGGAUCUAUGGGACUGGUGGAAUGGGAAAGACAACACUUGCAAGAGCAGUUUAUAAUUCCAUAGCCGAUCAAUUUGAUGGUUUGUGUUUUCUUAACGAAAUAAGUGCAAAUUCAGCUAAAUAUGGUUUAGAGCAUCUACAGGAAAAGCUCCUUUCCAAAUUAGUUGAAUUGUACGUUAAGUUAGGAGAUGUCAAUGAUGGAGUUCCAAUCAUAAAGCAAAGGCUUCACCGAAAGAAGGUUCUGUUGAUUCUCGAUGAUGUUCACGAACUGAAGCAAUUGCAGGUUUUGGCUGGAGGACUUGAUUGGUUCGGUCCUGGCAGUAGAGUGAUCGUUACCACUCGAGACAAACAUUUGCUAAAAAGUCACGGGAUUGAAAGAGCAUAUGAAAUUCCUAAGUUAAUUAAGAGAGAAGCUCUUGAAUUGUUGAGGUGGAAUACUUUCAAAAAUAACAAAGUCGAUUCAAAUUUUGACGGCAUUUUAUACUGUGCAGUAACUUAUGCUUCUGGCCUUCCAUUGGCUUUAGAAGUAGUGGGUUCCAACUUGUUUGGAAAGAAUAUAGUAGAAUGUAAAUCUGCAUUAUAUCAGUAUGAAAGGAUUCCCAUUAAAAAGAUCCAAGCGAUACUUAAAGUAAGCUUUGAUGCUUUGGAUGAAGAUGAGCAGAAUGUUUUUCUCGACAUUGCUUGCUGCUUCAAUGGAUAUGAAUUGAAAGAACUUGAAGAUAUACUUCAUGCUCAUUAUGGUAACUCCAUGAAGUAUCAAAUCAGUGUGUUGCUUGAAAAAUCUCUCAUCAAGAUCAACCAGUUCUGGGAGACUAGUUAUCUUACAUUACAUGCCUUAAUGGAGCAAAUAGGUAAAGAAAUUGUUCGACAAGAAUCCCUAAAAGAACCUGGAAAAUGUAGUAGGUUGUGGUUUCAUAAAGAUAUAAUUCAUGUCUUAGAAGAAAGUAAGGUGAAUAUACUGAUAUUCAUGAAUGGUUUAUUGUUAUCUUCAGUUUGCUCUUUUUUUACUAAUCCUAUUAAUGUUUAUGCUACACUUUUUUAUUCCCUUAUAAUAUGUAAAUUUAUCUUAAUUAGUGUGUUCAAUUUGUAACAUAUACACAUAUAUUAUGAAUCAUGGUUGAUUUGUGUUUUUUUUUCUUGCGCUUUAAGGGAUCAAGUAAAAUUGAAAUUAUAUAUUUGGAAUUCCCGUCAUCUGAGCAAAAGGUGGUAGAUUGGAAGGGAGAUGAACUCAAGAAGAUGCAAAACCUUAAAACACUUAUUGUUAAGAAUGGUAGCUUUUCCAAAGGUCCUAAAUAUUUUCCUGAUAGUAUUAGAGUAUUGGAAUGGCAUAAAUAUCCUUCACGGUUCGUACCGUCUGAUAUUUUCCCAAAGAAACGUUCUGUAUGCAAGCUACAGGAAAGUGACUUUUCAUCAUAUGAGUUGUGUGGCACAAUGAAGGUAUAUGUGUAAAUGUAAUGAUUUUUUACCCUCGUCUUAUAAGAAUAUUCAUUCAUUCGUUAAUUAUUUUUCUUUUGUCUUAUAUUUUGCAGAUGUUUGUGAAUAUGAGAGAGUUAAAUCUAGACAAAUGUCAAUUUUUAACACGGAUACACGACGUCUCCAAUCUCCCAAAUUUAGAAAUAUUUUCAUUUCAAGGUUGUAAGAAUUUAAUUGAAAUUCACAGAUCGUUUGGGUUCCUAAAUAAACUUGAAAUCUUGAACGCUACUGGUUGCAGCAAGCUUAUGAGAUUCCCACCAAUGAAGUCGAUGUCUCUUCGAGAGCUGAUGCUUUCAUAUUGUGAGAGUCUCAAGACUUUUCCAGAAAUAUUAGGAGAGGUGAAGAAUAUAACUUAUAUUACAUUGACAGACACUUCCAUUGAAAAAUUGCCAGUUUCAUUUCAAAAUCUCACUGGGCUUAGUAACUUAAAAAUAAAGGGAAAAGGAAUGCUUAGAUUACCUAGUAGCAUUUUUAGGAUGCCAAAUUUGUCAGACAUUACUGCUAACGGGUGCAUAUUGUCCAAACUGGAUGAUAAAUUUAGUUCCAUGGUGUUUACAUGCCCAAAUGAUAUCAAACUGAAGAAAUGCAACUUGUCAGAUGAAUUUCUUCCAAUACUUGUCAUGUGGUCUGCUAAUGUGGAAAUAUUAGACCUAUCAGGAAAUAGUUUCACAAUUCUUCCAGAAUGCAUCAAAGAUUGUCGCUUUUUGUCGAAGCUUACAUUGGAUGAUUGCAAGUGCCUUCGAGAAAUUAGAGGGAUUCCACCAAAUUUAAAAUAUUUGUCUGCAAAAUGCUGCAAAUCAUUGACUUCCUCGUGCAAAAACAUGCUAUUGAAUCAGGUUUUGUGUUUUUAUUCCUUGUAUUUGACUUAAUAUUUUAUAAGAUUGUUUACUCUAUCAAUUCUAUAUGGUUAACAGGAACUGCACGAGGCUGGAGAUACAAAAUUUUGUUUUUCAGGAUUUGCAAAAAUUCCAGAGUGGUUUGAGCACCAAAAUAUGGGAAAUACAAUUUCUUUUUGGUUUCGUAACAAGCAUCCUUCCAUGGCUCUCUGUAUUUCUACUAAAUCAGUUGAUACAACCAGUAAUGAUUUUGAUUUACAUAAGACAAGUCCCACUCUGAUCAUCCAUGGCAACAAAUAUGAUCUUUAUAUUCUCCUGACUAAGUUUGGUAAAAUGUGGACUCAUCAUACAUAUUUGUAUGAUAUGAAGCUGGAAUUUAAGCCAAACUACAACAUGGGCGGAAUUUUUUUAGUAAAUGAAUGGAUUCAUGCAGAGGUUAGAUGGGAACAUCGGGGGGUUGAACCACUAACAGAAUUUGGAAUCCAUUUUUUCAAACAGAAAAAUAACAUGGAGGACAUUAAAUUCACCGAUCCUUAUGAAAAGAUAAAGUUAAAUGAUAAUGAUGUCAUUGAUGAUGAUGAAGAUGAUGUUUUUUAUGAUGCUGAUGAUGUUCUUGAUGAUGAUGGAGGAUAUUGAAUUCACCAUUCACAAUAGUUCCGGCCAAUCACAAGACCACCCGUUGGUGUAUAAAUGGUCAUGUGCGAUUUUCAUUUCUUCCAACGUCAACAAUGCAUUCAUUGGAUGAUAUUGUGAAUGAUGAAUUCAAUGACCACCGUGUCGACACAGAUAUGUAAAUAUGUAAUUCCAAUUCUGUGUGCUUAUUUAUGUUCUUCAAAUGAUUGCUCUCUCCACUUAAAGUUACAAAUAUUGGAGCCAAUUCUGCAAAUCAUAUUAUGAGUGCUACCAAUGAUAUAUAUGGCUGGUGAAGGAUUGGUGAUAUAUUCCUAAAAGAUUUUACUUCAUAUACAGUCUUAAUCUGAACCAUUGGCUAGUUCGAUGUUUAUGGAAGAUUUAACUGCAUGGUUUUUGAUACUUAUGGAUGCUAAUUAUUUAUAAUUAGUAAAAAGUUUUUCUUAAGUCUGACUCAUAUUUAUCAAUAAGUGUGCAGUCACUCGCGAGCGUAGUGUUCAAAAGUAAACUUAUAAAUUUUAAUCUCAAGUUGUAAUGUGUCACCUUAAUAUUGAAUAAUAAAAAAUCACAGCAGCUACUAUUAUACUGUUGAAGAUGAAGACAUAACUGGCAAAACUAUGAUCAAUUGCUUGUGUUACAAAAGCUUUAUAAAUUCAUCAAACCCCUUGUAACAUUCAAGCCUUAACCACUAUUCUCAACCUUAGUAUCUUUGAAUUUGGUUAAUUCCUUUGUUCUCCGUGGCUUUGUUUGCGAGUUGGGUUUUGGAGGGGAGGGGAAGGGAAGGAAAGGCUUAUGGAGUGGUAACCCUUGUUUGCGAGUUUUAAAAAAACAAGGCAUAGGGGGGGGGGUUUGAAGGGCUUCAUUUGUCCAAUUUUAAAGUUCCCCCAAAUUGGGGGGUUAAACAUACAAAUUGAAAAUUUUGCCCUCUUAAUAAUUCAAAAUUCCAAUUUUAGACAUUACUAAAAUUAUUACAAUCUUUUUUAAAAACAACUUAUUUAUACAAAGCAGCUUAUUACGAUCUAAUUUUCAAAAACAGCUUAUUCAAAACAACUUAUUUAUACAAAACAGCUUAUUACGACCUCAUUUUCAAAAACCGAUUAUUCAAAACAACUUAUUUAUAUAAAACAGCUUAUUACGACCUCAUUUUCAAAAACAGCUUAUUCAAAACAACUUAUUUAUGCAAAACAAUUUAAUACAAUCUCUUUUUUCAAAAACAGCUUAUUCAAAACAUCUUAUUUAUACAAAGCAGCUUAAUACGACCUAAUUUUCAAAAACCGCUUAUUAAAAACAACUUAUUUAUACAAAACAACUUAUUACGACCUCAUUUUCAAAAACCGCAUAUUCAAAACAACUUAUUUAUGAAAAACAGCUUAAUACGAUCUCUUUUUCAAAAACAGCUUAUUCAAACCAGCUUAUUUAUACAAAGCAGCUUAUUACGACCUAAUUUUCAAAAACAGCUUAUUCAAAACAACUUAUUUAUACAAAACAGCUUAUUACGACCUCAUUUUCAAAAACCGAUUAUUCAAAACAACUUAUUUAUAUAAAACAGCUUAUUACGACCUCAUUUUCAAAAACAGCUUAUUCAAAACAACUUAUUUAUGCAAAACAAUUUAAUACAAUCUCUUUUUUCAAAAACAGCUUAUUCAAAACAUCUUAUUUAUACAAAGCAGCUUAUUACGACCUAAUUUUCAAAAACCGCUUAUUAAAAACAACUUAUUACGACCUCAUUUUCAAAAACCGCAUAUUCAAAACAACUUAUUUAUGAAAAACAGCUUAAUACGAUCUCUUUUUCAAAAACAGCUUAUUCAAACCAGCUUAUUUAUACAAAACAGCUUAUUACGACCUCAUUUUCAAAAACAGCUUAUUCAAAACAACUUAUUUAUACAAAACAGCUUAUUACGACCUCAUUUUCAAAAACCGAUUAUUCAAAACAACUUAUUUAUAUAAAACAGCUUAUUACGACCUCAUUUUCAAAAACAGCUUAUUCAAAACAACUUAUUUAUGCAAAACAAUUUAAUACAAUCUCUUUUUUCAAAAACAGCUUAUUCAAAACAUCUUAUUUAUACAAAGCAGUUUAUUACGACCUAAUUUUCAAAAACCGCUUAUUAAAAACAACUUAUUUAUACAAAACAACUUAUUACGACCUCAUUUUCAAAAACCGCAUAUUCAAAACAACUUAUUUAUGCAAAACAGUUUAAUACGAUCUCUUUUUCAAAAACAGCUUAUUUAUAUAAAAUAGCUUAUUACGACCUCAUUUUCAAAAACUGCUUAUUCAAAACAAAUUAUUUAUACAAAACAGCUUAUUACGACCUCAUUUUCAAAAAAAGCUUAUUCAAAACAACUUAUUUAUGCAAAACAACUUAAUACGAUCUCUUUUUCAACAAGUUGUUUUGAAUAANNNNNNNNNNNNNNNNNNNNNNNNNNNNNNNNNNNNNNNNNNNNNNNNNNNNNNNNNNNNNNNNNNNNNNNNNNNNNNNNNNNNNNNNNNNNNNNNNNNNAGCUUUGAUGCUUGUUCAUCAGUAUGAAUUAUUCAGAAUGAAGGAUGAUGAGAGUAUUGAAGAAAUGUACUCAAGAUUUCAAACUUUGGUUUCUGGAUUGCAAAUUCUAAAGAAAAGCUAUGCUGCUUCUGAUCAUGUCAGUAAGAUUUUGAGAAGCUUACCUUCAAGAUGGAGACCCAAAGUAACUGCUAUUGAGGAAGCUAAGGAUCUAAACACUUUAAGUGUUGAAGAUCUUGUUAGCUCACUCAAAGUGCAUGAAAUGAGUUUAAAUGAGCAUGAAUCCUCUAAGAAGAGUAAAUCCAUUGCUCUACCAUCUAAAGGAAAGACUUCAAAAUCUUCAAAAGCCUACAAAGCCAGUGAAUCUGAAGAAGAAUCACCUGAUGGAGAUUCUGAUGAAGAUCAGUCGGUGAAAAUGGCUAUGCUGUCCAACAAACUUGAAUAUCUGGCAAGGAAGCAAAAGAAAUUUUUGAGCAAGAGAGGUGGCUACAAGAACUCAAAGAAAGAAGAUCAGAAGGGGUGCUUCAACUGCAAGAAGCCUGGUCAUUUUAUUGCUGAUUGCCCUGAUCUUCAGAAGGAGAAAUCCAAAAGUAAAUCCAAGAAAUCAAGCUUCAGCUCCAGUAAGUUUAGAAAGCAAAUCAAAAAGAGCUUGAUGGCUACCUGGGAAGAUUUGGAUAGUGAAUCUUGUUCUGAUAAAGAAGAAGCAGAAAAUGAUACAAAAGCAGCCAUGGGGUUAGUGGCAACAGUAUCAUCAGAAGCAAUAUCAGAAGCUGAAUCAGAUUCAGAAGAUGAAAAUGAGGUAUAUUCCAAAAUUCCUAGACAAGAACUUGUUGAUUCUCUAAAAGAACUUUUAUCACUAUUUGAACACAGAACCAAUGAGUUGACAGAUUUAAAAGAAAAAUAUGUUGAUUUGAUGAAACAACAAAAGUCAACUCUAUUGGAACUUAAAGCUUCUGAAGAAGAACUCAAAGGGUUUAACCUCAUAUCAACAACAUAUGAAGAUAGACUCAAGAGUCUUUGUCAGAAGCUACAAGAAAAAUGUGAUAAAGGAUCAGGCAAUAAACAUGAGAUUGCCUUGGAUGAUUUCAUUAUGGCUGGAAUAGACAGAAGCAAAGUUGCUUCUAUGAUCUACAGCACAUACAAGAACAAAGGCAAAGGGAUUGGAUAUUCUGAGGAGAAAUCUAAAGAAUACAGUCUCAAGAGCUACUGUGAUUGUAUCAAGGAUGGAUUGAAAUCCACCUUUGUGCCUGAAGGUACAAAUGCUGUAACUGCUGUUCAGUCAAAACCUGAAGCUUCUGGUUCAAAGGCUAAGAUCACAUCAAAGCCAGAAAACCUUAAGAUCAAGGUGAUGACAAAAUCUGAUCCUAAUAGUCAAAAGAUUAAAAUUCUGAAAAGAUCAGAACCUGUUCAUCAGAAUCUGAUUAAACCAGAAUCUAAAAUUCCAAAACAAAAGGAUCAGAAGAACAAAGCAGCUACUGCUUCUGAGAAAACAAUACCAAAAGGUGUCAAACCUAAAGUAUUGAAUGAACAGAAGCCACUCAGCAUUCACCCUAAGGUACAAGGGAGGAAAAGUAAAGCCUCCAGAACUAACCCAAAAGGACCCAUGAAAAUAUGGGUACCUAAAUCUGAAUUGGCUAAAACUGCAGGUGUGCCUAAGGGCAAGAGAGAAACAAAGGUCAUGGUACCUAGACAGCGGAUGCUCAAGGCACAUGACUGGAGAGAAAGCUUUGUUCCUUACCCUUACAAUGAAAGAUGGAGGAGAAGUGAAGUUUGGUGGCAACCAAACUGGAAAAAUCAUUGGUACAGGUACUAUUGGUAAUUCCUCCAUCUCAAUUAAUAAUGUGUGGCUAGUAGAUGGUCUGAAGCAUAACCUAUUGAGCAUUAGUCAAUUUUGUGACAAUGGGUAUGAUGUAAUGUUCAGUAAGACCAACUGCACACUGGUCAACAAGGAUGACAAAUCCAUUACAUUCAAGGGAAAGAGAGUUGAGAAUGUCUAUAAAAUAAAUUUCUCUGAUCUGGCUGAUCAGAAGGUAGUUUGCCUUCUGUCAAUGAAUGAUAAAAAAUGGGUAUGGCAUAAAAGGUUGGGACAUGCUAAUUGGAGAUUAAUUUCUAAAAUUAGCAAGUUACAACUGGUUAAAGGAUUGCCUAACAUUGAUUAUCAUUCAGAUGCACUUUGUGGUGCAUGUCAGAAAGGGAAAAUUGUGAAAAGUUCUUUCAAAUCUAAAGACAUUGUAUCAACCUCCAGACCCUUAGAAUUACUCCAUAUUGAUCUUUUUGGACCAGUUAACACUGCAUCCUUAUAUGGAAGUAAAUAUGGAUUAGUCAUUGUUGAUGAUUACAACAGAUGGACUUGGGUCAAAUUCAUUAAAAGUAAAGAUUAUGCUUGUGAAGUGUUGUCAUACCCCAAUUUUGGACCGUUUAAAAUCUCUUGUCCGUAUUUUAAAAUUGUUCACGUUCCCAUUUAUUCGUUGUUUUUUACCAUUUAAAAUUCGUGUUUCUUGUCUUUAGUUAUUCAAAAAAGUUUUAUUUUUACGUUAAAUCAACGUUUGCAUUUCACAACGAUUAAAACCGUCUCACUUUCAUUUUUAUGACGCAUUUUUGUUAUAUAGUCUUUUUAGCCGUAACGAUCAUGUCUAAAAAAAGAAGGCCUAAUCGCAUUUUAAAAGGCGUUUUUUAUUAAUCAUUUCAAUCGAAAUUUCGGCAAGGAGGAUACUUUGAAGUACCUCAUGUCAGAUUUCGAAGGGACUUUUUUAUUUUUAUUUUUUUUUUUUAGGUUAGUUUGUUUAUUAUUAUUUAGGAAAAAAAAAACAAAGAAGUGAAAGUCACGUGAAUGACUUCCUUCCUUUUAUUUUCUUUUCUUUUUUUUUAUUAUUUAUUUAUUUUAUUCAUUUUUGUUUUUAUUUUAUUUAUUUAUUUAUUUAUUUGUUAAAAUCUUUUUCUCCAAGUCUCAGCUGCAGGGGCAUUUUGGUCAUUGACUUGUACCAGAGCCAACCCUAGUUUGUCACUAUAAAAACACUGUCAAUCAUUGGGAAAUGGGUCAGAGAAAAAUCACUGUAGCUGCGUCAGAGUCAAAUCAGUCCCUCAACCCACACAAACCCUAAUUUCCUUUCUCUCAUACAUUUUUUUCGGAUCAAAAAAACAGGAUUUCCAGAUAAAGAAGAAAGAAAAGGCUCAACAACAUUCAAUAUCAAAACAAAUCAUAAUCACAACACCAGUUCAUUACACAAACAAAAACAGAUCGGAGUGCUCAAACCCAAGAACAACAAACACCAACAAUUACGAAAUCAAAGUGUAGAAAACGGAACCGAACCGGACCGGAAAGAAGAGGGAACAAACGGAGGCACGGAUUUUUGGACCGGAUAGAAGAAAACAAUCAACAAGAGGUAGUCUCUAUCUCUUCAUCUUGUGGUGUUUUGUUUCUUCUUUUACUCCUAUCUUAUUUUCGUGAAUCUUUGGCUUUAGAUCUAGGUUUUUUUGUUGUGAGUUUGAGAAAAGCAAGUCCGGAUCCGUGUUUAGUGCUAAAAAGGAUGUGUGAAUAUGUGAAAAUUUUUUAAUUUGGAGUGGUUUGGUUGCUCCGGCGCGGCGGCGCCGCCUGUUGGCCGGCGGCCACCACGCCGGAAAACGCAAGCUUCGCCGGAGAAGAAGGCUGCAAUUUGCAGACCUUCUCUCACUAGAAAUGUUUAGAGAGAGGGAGGAAGGAGAAAAAUGAUAAAAAACCGGUCCCUAUGCCUUUUAUAAACAUGCGCAGACCGGUCUGGUUCAUCUGAACCGGACCGGUCCAUAUAUUUCCUCUUUCCUUUCUUUCUAAACCUUUAAAUCCUUUCUUUUUUUUAAUCCAACGGUUAUGCAUGUGCAAUCUAUGGUGAUACUUAGUACACCUUCAGAUCUAGACUGAUUGAUUUUUAAUCUAACGGUCAGGGAUGAUUCUGUUUAGAUCACACGCGUGUCCCUUGCUUGCAGUAUUCCAUGUUCUGUUUUGUCCAACCGUUGGAUCUUAGAUUCUAUGGCUGUGAUGAGAUCUUGAGAUUCAGAUCUGGACCUCUGGAUUCAUCCAACGGUCCAGAUUAGAUCCUGCUGAGCCAAUAUUUUUUUAUUCCUUAUUUUUAAUUAUCUUUAUUUUUAAAUACUGUUUUUACACUUUUUUGACAUUUUGUGUCUAAAAAAAAUUCCAAAAAAUAUUUUUUCACCAUUUUAAUUUUCUCUAAUUUUAAAAAUCCAUCCUAUUUGUUUCCUUUUAAUUUUUUUUUUUUGUUUAUCUCUUAUAUGAUGAUCUUAAUUAUUAUUUGUCUUAAUUCUUGCUUAUUAUUUCUUAUGUCUCAUUCAUCAUAAUAUUUCUUGUGAUUACUAACUAUUUAAUUUUUGUCUUGAAUCAUAGCAUGCACAUUUUGUAACGCCCACUUUCGUUUAAUCGUUAUUUAAUCGAGUUUAGGCAAUUAUAUUAUAAUUAUAUAAUAUGUGCAUGAUUUUGAUAUGUUUUGAUGAUUUGUUUUGAUGACGUGUUAAGUUAUGAGUUUUGGAGGAUAUGAUAAGAUUAGAGAAUUUAUUUUAUUGUUAAAUAAAAUAAAGAUUUGAAAAAUAUUUAGUUGAGGGCUGUUUUGAUAUUUUAGAUAGUUUUGGGGGAGAAAGUGAAAUAAGAUAAGUUAUUAAGGAGAGAUAUAAAAGAGGCUAAACCUAGUUUUAGAAAAACACUUUGUACGUGAAAACUUUUGGAAAAGGGAGAAAAAGCUUAGAGAGGAGCAAGAGACCAAGAGGGCUGCGAUUUCUUCAUAACCAGGUAAGGGUGGGACUAAUAACUCAGUAGCAUUAACCUCUGUAAUUCUGAUGAUUAGUUGACAAAGUUAGGAUUGAUUUAGAGAAGUUUUGGAAUUAGGUCAAACCCUAAAAUUUGAGAAUAAAUGGUAAAACUUGUUUAGAUUGAUGAAAGAACCGUCCUUUAACCUUAGAAUAUGUUUAGGAUGAAUUCUGGAAUCAAAACCAAGCUUAGAACCAUGUGAAACGUCGGAUUUCUGUGAUAUUAGGAAGCCUGGCCGUAGCGACAUUCAUCGCUCGCCACGGCGAGCUAUGAUCCUCGCCUCGCGAGUGAUGAAGAUUCAUCGCUCGCCUCGCGAGCCCCUUUCCUUCGCCUCGCGAGUUGUCUGGUGCAACUCGCCAUGGCGAGCAACCCCUCUCGCCUCGCGAGCUUAGGCAGAGUGCAUGUCAUAUUUCGUGUUUCGACCUUUUUAGUUGAACCUUGUAUGCCUUUGAGUACCAGAACAUACCUAGUAUUGAUUAGGAAUGAUUUUAGGACAGGAUUGAACCCAGAACAACAUCAGUUUGGGAGAUUAGUGUUACUCGCCAUGGCGAGUAAGUACUCUCGCCUCGCGAGUACAACCAGAAUGUAGUUGCUUGAGUGUUGUGCGAUCUGUGUCGCAUGUGUUGAUCAAGAGUGAACCCCUAGUUGGUAAUGAAACCUAAAGAUGACGUUUAAUGCAGCCUGUAGAGUUGUUUAAGUUACAUAAAUAUUAAUUGAGCAAGAACUAUUAUAUUGUAUAUUCAUGCAAGAUAUGAAGGGUUAAUAAUAAUGCAAUUUAUGUGCUAUUGAUAUAAUGAUAUCAUCUUGAUAUGUGACUUGUUUAUGCUGCUUCCGUUAUUUAACUAAGUGCAUAUGUAUAUGAUAAGGUUUAGCUCCAAAUUAUUGGACGCAUUGUUGAUUACGAUGAUUACGUGUUUUGUUCAUAAGUGUCCAUGCAUUACAUAUCAUUGAGCUUAGUCUUCACCACGAAUAUUAGGAGCUUUGUCCUCCGCACGUUUUAUAGGAGCUUUGUCCUCCGCACGAUUAAAGUAUAUUAAUACUUAUGAUGACGAUUGGUACCACAUGCAUAUAUGGAGUCUAGGAGCAUUGUCACAUUGUCAUGAUUAAGAUGCCUUGUUGAUAAUGAUUGAAUAUGUGAUUACGUGAUAAGUGUUUAUUGAAUGUGUUAUGUUAUUCCUAAUUAUUGGAUAUAUGAUUACGUGAUAACUGCUUAGCAUUUAUGCAAAGUUAAUAAUGUAAUGACUAUGAUGUUUAACUUAUAAUUCUUAAUUGCAUUGUUUAAUGUUAUUCUGUUAUGAAAUCUCACCCCUUCUGUUUGAAUGUUACCUCGACCGUGGGUAACGUGCAGGUGAUCGUGCUUAGUGUGCAGUUGCCGUCGUGAGUGGCCUUGCCUUCACUGUGUCGUCUAGGUCGCUCUGAUACGUAACGGGAUGGGGUUAUUGCUAUAAUAAGCUUCAUUCUUUUACGUGAACUGCCAUGAUAAUUAUGUUUUGAUAAACUCUUUUGAGAUACUUGUUGGGCCUGAGUGCCAAAACGUUUUAUGAAUUAUAUUUACGACUUUCCGCUGCAAUGUUUAAGAUAUUGGUUAAAUUAUUAUUUAACUGUUGGAUUACGUUAUAUGUGAUAUCCCGUUGUUUGAUGUUACUCUGAUAAAUGUUAUGUUUUUAAAGAAAUUUUCGAUAUUGGGAAAACGGGGUGUUACAAUUGGUAUCAGAGCAGGUCGGUCCGUCCGGUCAAUUAGAGAGUUGUGUCGAGUCUUAGUAAUAUUAUAUUACUAUCUUAUACUGUUGUUGCUACUUUUGUAGAAUAUCAGAAUGGCUGGAAGGAACGAUGCUGCGUUAGCUGCUGCUCUACAAGCUGUUGCCCAAGCUGUGGGACAACAACCUAACGUGAAUGCUGGUGCGAAUGCUGAAGCUAGGAUGUUGGAGACGUUCAUGAAGAAGAACCCUCCGACUUUCAAAGGACGUUAUGACCCUGAUGGAGCCCAGACGUGGCUUAAAGAGAUAGAGAGGAUUUUCCGGGUUAUGCAGUGCACGGAAGAUCAGAAAGUUCGGUUUGGUACUCAUCAGCUGGCCGAGGAAGCUGAUGACUGGUGGGUUGCUCUUCUACCUACCCUUGAGCAGGAGGGAGCUGUUGUGACUUGGGCUGUUUUCAAGAGGGAGUUCCUGAGAAGAUACUUUCCGGAAGAUGUUCGCGGGAAGAAGGAGAUCGAGUUCCUUGAGUUGAAGCAAGGGAACAUGUCUGUGACAGAGUAUGCUGCCAAGUUUGUGGAGCUGUCAAAGUUUUACCCGCACUAUACUGCUGAGAAUUCUGAGUUCUCGAGAUGUAUCAAGUUCGAGAACGGUUUGAGGCCCGACAUCAAGAGGGCGCUUGGGUAUCAACAGCUGAGAGUUUUUCAGGACUUGGUUAAUAGCUGCAGGAUCUAUGAAGAGGAUACGAAGGCUCACUACAAGGUAGUGAACGAAAGGAAGGGUAAGGGGCAGCAGAGUCGUCCUAAGCCGUACAGUGCCCCCGCUGACAAAGGGAAACAGAAGAUGGUCGAUGUUAGGCGGCCUAAGAAGAAGGAUGCUGCAGAGAUUGUGUGCUUCAAUUGUGGUGGGAAAGGCCACAAGAGCAACGCCUGUCCCGAAGAAAUCAAGAAGUGUGUCCGGUGUGGUAAGAGAGGUCAUGUUGUAGCUGAUUGCAAUCGCACGGACAUUGUGUGCUUUAACUGCAAUGGAGAGGGUCACAUUAGUUCUCAGUGUACUCAGCCGAAGAGGGCGCCGACUACUGGUAGGGUUUUUGCUUUGACUGAGACUCAGACAGAGAAUGAGGAUCGUUUGAUCAGAGGUACUUGCUAUAUUAAUAAUACCCCUUUAGUUGCUAUUAUUGAUACUGGUGCUACGCAUUGCUUUAUUGCUUUCGAUUGUGUUUCUGCUUUGGGUCUUGAGUUGUCUGAUAUGAAUGGAGAGAUGGUUGUCGAAACUCCAGCUAAGGGUUCGGUGACUACUUCUCUCGUAUGUUUGAAAUGUCCUUUGUCUAUGUUUGGUCGUGAUUUUGAAAUGGAUUUAGUUUGUCUACCUUUGAGUGGUAUGGAUGUGAUUUUGGGUAUGAACUGGUUAAAGUACAAUCACGUUCUUAUUAAUUGUUUUAGCAAGUCAGUACAUUUCUCUUCCGUCGAAGAGGAAAGUGGUGCAGAGUUUUUAUCUACUAAGCAGCUGAAGCAACUGGAACGCGAUGAUAUCUUGAUGUUUUCCUUGAUGGCUUCUUUAUCUGUUGAGAAUCAAGCAAUGAUUGAUAGGCUACCGGUGGUGUGUGAAUUUCCUGAAGUCUUUCCAGAUGAGAUUCCUGAUGUGCCUCCAGAGAGAGAAGUCGAGUUUUCUAUUGAUCUUGUUCCUGGAACGAAACCGGUCUCGAUGGCACCUUAUCGUAUGUCUGCUUCAGAAUUAUCUGAGUUGAAGGAACAGUUGGAGGACUUGCUUGAAAAGAAGUUUGUUAGACCAAGUGUUUCACCUUGGGGAGCGCCGGUUUUGCUAGUAAAGAAGAAAGAUGGUAGUAUGCGGUUGUGUAUUGAUUAUCGGCAGUUGAACAAAGUAACUAUCAAGAAUAGGUAUCCACUUCCGAGAAUUGAUGAUUUGAUGGAUCAGCUAGUGGGUGCACAAGUUUUCAGCAAGAUUGAUUUGAGAUCGGGUUAUCACCAGAUUAAAGUAAAAGAUGAGGAUAUGCAGAAGACAGCUUUCAGAACGCGCUAUGGUCACUAUGAAUACAAAGUUAUGCCUUUCGUUGUGACCAAUGCACCUGGAGUGUUUAUGGAGUAUAUGAAUCGCAUCUUCCAUGCAUUUUUGGAUCGGUUCGUAGUUGUGUUCAUCGACGAUAUUUUGAUUUACUCCAAGACUGAAGAAGAACAUGCAGAGCAUCUGAAGAUUGUCUUACAAGUGUUGAAAGAGAAGAAACUUUAUGCCAAAUUGUCUAAGUGUGAAUUCUGGUUGAAAGAAGUGAGUUUCCCUGGCCAUGUUAUUUCCGGAGAUGGUAUUGCUGUGGAUCCGUCUAAAGUCGAAGCUGUAUCACGAUGGGAUACUCCUAAGUCCGUUAGUGAGAUUAGAAGCUUUUUGGGUUUAGCUGGUUACUAUAGAAGAUUUAUUGAAGGAUUUUCUAAGUUAGCUCUUCCGCUUACACAGUUGACUUGUAAAGGUAAGACCUUUGUGUGGGACGUUCAUUGUGAGAGGAGUUUCGGUGAAUUGAAGAAACGUCUGACGAUUGCUCCAGUUUUGAUUUUGCCGAAGCCCGAAGAACCUUUUGUGGUAUAUUGUGAUGCGUCCAAGUUGGGUUUGGGAGGUGUGCUUAUGCAAGAAGGUAAAGUGGUAGCUUAUGCUUCAAGACAGUUGAGAGUUCAUGAGAAGAAUUAUCCUACGCAUGAUCUCGAGUUGGCAGCUGUAGUCUUUGUGUUAAAGAUAUGGAGACAUUAUUUGUAUGGUUCGAGGUUUGAGGUGUUUAGUGAUCACAAGAGUUUGAAGUAUUUGUUCGAUCAGAAGGAAUUGAAUAUGAGGCAGCGAAGAUGGCUAGAGUUGCUAAAGGAUUAUGACUUUGGUUUAAAUUAUCACCCAGGUAAAGCUAAUGUUGUUGCAGAUGCCUUGAGUAGGAAGACAUUGCAUAUGUCUGCCAUGAUGGUCAGAGAGUUCGAGUUACUUGAACAGUUCAGAGAUAUGAGUUUGGUUUGUGAAUGGUCGCCUCAGAGUGUGAAACUGGGUAUGCUGAAGAUUGAUAGUGAAUUUCUGAAAAGCAUCAAAGAAGCACAGAAAGUUGAUGUGAAGUUCGUGGAUUUGUUGGUUGCUAGAGAUCAGGCUCAAGGCAGUGAUUUUAAAAUCGAUGAUCAAGGCGUGUUGAGAUUCCGAGGGAGAAUUUGUAUUCCAGACGACGAAGAGAUUAAGAAGAUGAUUCUUGAAGAGAGUCAUAGAAGUAGCUUGAGUAUUCACCCGGGAGCUACGAAGAUGUAUCAUGAUCUAAAGAAGAUUUUCUGGUGGUCUGGUUUGAAAGGAGAUGUGGCACAGUUUGUGUAUUCCUGUUUAGUUUGUCAGAAGUCGAAGGUCGAGCAUCAGAAACCCGCUGGGAUGAUGGUACCUUUGGAUGUGCCGGAAUGGAAAUGGGAUAGUAUAUCGAUGGAUUUUGUGACGAGUUUGCCGAAUACUCCGAGAGGGAGCGAUGCAAUUUGGGUUAUAGUUGAUAGAUUGACAAAGUCAGCUCAUUUCCUACCUAUUAAUAUUAGUUUCCCUGUUGCCCAGUUGGCAGAGAUUUACAUCAAAGAGAUUUUGAAGUUGCAUGGUGUUCCUUCGAGCAUUGUAUCAGAUAGAGAUCCAAGAUUUACUUCUAGAUUUUGGAAAAGUUUGCAAGAGGCUUUGGGUUCGAAGUUGAGAUUGAGUUCGGCGUAUCAUCCACAGACGGAUGGUCAGUCGGAGAGGACAAUUCAGUCACUAGAGGAUUUAUUGAGAAUUUGUGUUCUUGAGCAAGGAGGAACUUGGGACAGUCAUCUUCCGUUGAUCGAGUUCACUUAUAAUAAUAGUUAUCAUUCUAGUAUUGGAAUGGCACCUUUCGAGGCUUUAUAUGGUCGGAUAUGCAGAACUCCGUUGUGUUGGUUUGAGUCAGGAGAAAGAGUGGUCUUAGGACCAGAGAUUGUUCAGCAAACUACUGAGAAAGUUCAGAUGAUCCGAGAGAAAAUGAAGGCGUCGCAGAGUCGACAAAAGAGUUAUCAUGAUAAGCGUAGAAAAGAUCUUGAAUUUAAGGAAGGAGACCACGUGUUUUUGAGAGUCACUCCUAUGACUGGUGUAGGACGUGCUUUGAAGUCAAAGAAGUUGACCCCGAAGUUCAUUGGUCCGUAUCAGAUAUUGGAAAGAGUUGGGACGGUGGCUUACCGAGUGGGUUUACCGCCGCAUCUUUCGAAUUUGCACAAUGUUUUCCAUGUGUCGCAACUUCGGAAGUAUGUUCCGGAUCCAUCUCAUGUAAUUCAGAGUGACGAUGUGCAAGUUAGAGACAACCUUACGGUAGAGACGUUACCGUUGAGGAUUGAUGAUCGUAAAGUGAAGACGUUGAGGGGCAAAGAGAUACCUCUCGUGAGAGUCGUUUGGUCGGGAGCGACUGGCGAAAGCUUGACGUGGGAGCUUGAGAGUAAGAUGCUGGAGUCGUAUCCAGAGUUGUUUACUUAAGGUAAAUUUUCGAGGACGAAAAUCUUUUAAGUGGGGGAGAGUUGUAACGCCCACUUUCAUUUAAUCGUUAUUUAAUCGAGUUUAGGCAAUUAUAUUAUAAUUAUAUAAUAUGUGCAUGAUUUUGAUAUGUUUUGAUGAUUUGUUUUGAUGACGUGUUAAGUUAUGAGUUUUGGAGGAUAUGAUAAGAUUAGAGAAUUUAUUUUAUUGUUAAAUAAAAUAAAGAUUUGAAAAAUAUUUAGUUGAGGGCUGUUUUGAUAUUUUAGAUAGUUUUGGGGGAGAAAGUGAAAUAAGAUAAGUUAUUAAGGAGAGAUAUAAAAGAGGCUAAACCUAGUUUUAGAAAAACACUUUGUACGUGAAAACUUUUGGAAAAGGGAGAAAAAGCUUAGAGAGGAGCAAGAGACCAAGAGGGCUGCGAUUUCUUCAUAACCAGGUAAGGGUGGGACUAAUAACUCAGUAGCAUUAACCUCUGUAAUUCUGAUGAUUAGUUGACAAAGUUAGGAUUGAUUUAGAGAAGUUUUGGAAUUAGGUCAAACCCUAAAAUUUGAGAAUAAAUGGUAAAACUUGUUUAGAUUGAUGAAAGAACCGUCCUUUAACCUUAGAAUAUGUUUAGGAUGAAUUCUGGAAUCAAAACCAAGCUUAGAACCAUGUGAAACGUCGGAUUUCUGUGAUAUUAGGAAGCCUGGCCGUAGCGACAUUCAUCGCUCGCCACGGCGAGCUAUGAUCCUCGCCUCGCGAGUGAUGAAGAUUCAUCGCUCGCCUCGCGAGCCCCUUUCCUUCGCCUCGCGAGUUGUCUGGUGCAACUCGCCAUGGCGAGCAACCCCUCUCGCCUCGCGAGCUUAGGCAGAGUGCAUGUCAUAUUUCGUGUUUCGACCUUUUUAGUUGAACCUUGUAUGCCUUUGAGUACCAGAACAUACCUAGUAUUGAUUAGGAAUGAUUUUAGGACAGGAUUGAACCCAGAACAACAUCAGUUUGGGAGAUUAGUGUUACUCGCCAUGGCGAGUAAGUACUCUCGCCUCGCGAGUACAACCAGAAUGUAGUUGCUUGAGUGUUGUGCGAUCUGUGUCGCAUGUGUUGAUCAAGAGUGAACCCCUAGUUGGUAAUGAAACCUAAAGAUGACGUUUAAUGCAGCCUGUAGAGUUGUUUAAGUUACAUAAAUAUUAAUUGAGCAAGAACUAUUAUAUUGUAUAUUCAUGCAAGAUAUGAAGGGUUAAUAAUAAUGCAAUUUAUGUGCUAUUGAUAUAAUGAUAUCAUCUUGAUAUGUGACUUGUUUAUGCUGCUUCCGUUAUUUAACUAAGUGCAUAUGUAUAUGAUAAGGUUUAGCUCCAAAUUAUUGGACGCAUUGUUGAUUACGAUGAUUACGUGUUUUGUUCAUAAGUGUCCAUGCAUUACAUAUCAUUGAGCUUAGUCUUCACCACGAAUAUUAGGAGCUUUGUCCUCCGCACGUUUUAUAGGAGCUUUGUCCUCCGCACGAUUAAAGUAUAUUAAUACUUAUGAUGACGAUUGGUACCACAUGCAUAUAUGGAGUCUAGGAGCAUUGUCACAUUGUCAUGAUUAAGAUGCCUUGUUGAUAAUGAUUGAAUAUGUGAUUACGUGAUAAGUGUUUAUUGAAUGUGUUAUGUUAUUCCUAAUUAUUGGAUAUAUGAUUACGUGAUAACUGCUUAGCAUUUAUGCAAAGUUAAUAAUGUAAUGACUAUGAUGUUUAACUUAUAAUUCUUAAUUGCAUUGUUUAAUGUUAUUCUGUUAUGAAAUCUCACCCCUUCUGUUUGAAUGUUACCUCGACCGUGGGUAACGUGCAGGUGAUCGUGCUUAGUGUGCAGUUGCCGUCGUGAGUGGCCUUGCCUUCACUGUGUCGUCUAGGUCGCUCUGAUACGUAACGGGAUGGGGUUAUUGCUAUAAUAAGCUUCAUUCUUUUACGUGAACUGCCAUGAUAAUUAUGUUUUGAUAAACUCUUUUGAGAUACUUGUUGGGCCUGAGUGCCAAAACGUUUUAUGAAUUAUAUUUACGACUUUCCGCUGCAAUGUUUAAGAUAUUGGUUAAAUUAUUAUUUAACUGUUGGAUUACGUUAUAUGUGAUAUCCCGUUGUUUGAUGUUACUCUGAUAAAUGUUAUGUUUUUAAAGAAAUUUUCGAUAUUGGGAAAACGGGGUGUUACACAUUUAAUUUUCCCAUCAUUUUAUUUUAUCUUUGACUUAGUGUGUAUAAAUAGGAAAUUGAUGUAAUUUUAUUUCUUGCAUUUUUAUUUUGGCAUAAAGGCCUUAGGGUUGUAUUUAGGAAUUGAUGUAAUAAUGUAGGUAACACAAGCACCGACACAUGCACCGACACUACCACAUUUUAUUUACCACUUUCCGUUAGUUUUUGCGACGUUACGUUAGUUCUCACCGUUAGUUUAAAAAAAAAACUUUUUAUCAAAAAAAAACUAAAUAUGUCAAAUUCAAAAAAUCAUUUUUCUUAGCAACAUUUUCUCUUUAUUUUCUUAAUCAAAUUCUCAAUCAAUCUUAAUUCAACUUCAACCAUUUUUUUUUAAAUUUUAAAAUCAAUCAACCUCACUUGUUUUCUUUAUCUCAUGCCUUGAGGCCUCUUUCUCUUCUUAAAACCCAUUUCCAAAAAAAUCUUAAAAUCAACCUAACCCACCAAAGAAAUUCUUGAGUGUAACUACGUCGGUUUUGAUCCCUUUCCCAACAGGGUACGUAGGCAGAGGACUUGUUCUUCCAAAUCAAAUAAAAAUAACAGAAAACAUACUUCUUCUCCCUCCAUUCUUUCACUUAGACAUUAGGCAAUAAUUUUUUCAAAUGAACAAGUAUUUUAGCACAAGAUAAUCUAGGUAAGAGGUUCCUACGGAAUACCGUAGAUGCUUAGGGUGCUAGCACCUUCCCUUCGCAUAACCAACCCCCGAAAUUUCCAUGUUGCUUAUAGAAAUCGUCCGUACAAACCACUUUCUUCCCUAGCUUCCUUAAACUCAAGAGAUCUGGCUUCUUGAAACUAUACUGCCUAAGGCUCCUCAUAUCUACAAUGUUUACAACAAAGCUUUUAUAAGUCCUUCAAAAUUUUUGAUGAAUGGAAAAAAUAUUUAUGGAUGGAUACAUGUAUGCAUGAUAAUACUAAAGCACAUAGGAUGCACGGUGAGGUUAAAUUCAUAUGUUGGAGUCAAAGGGUAACAACGCCAUUUGGUAAGGACUAAGGUUUUUAAAUUGCACUGGUAACAAGGGUUCUACCAAGUUCCCAAAGUCUUUAACCACUUCAAAAUAUUUAUCGGGUGACGGGAGUACUCCCAUUCCAAUUAUAUUUGUCGGAAAGUCUCGUUUGGGUGUAGCAUCGCGUAUCAACUAAUUCAAGAGUACUCUCGAUUAGCCACCGCACUACGUCCUAAAAGGCCAAAGAUAGGUUAAAGGUGACUAAAAGUCCUCAACUUCAAUGGUCACUUGAAAAUAGCAUGCCAAACAUGAGUACUCACGUUGACAACACAUACUUCCAAGAUUCCUCCGUUGAGUGGGGUUAUCACAUGUGCCAAUACCGAAGAGUACUCUUGGCAUGGAACUAUGAUUAUACCACCGUCCUAUCUUAAAUUUCCCUCAAACUCGGGUGUAGAGCUUAUCUCACCACUCACGUAAAAAGAAAUAACAUUUAGGCAUGUAUUUACAAGGCAUAAGAAAUAAUAAAGCACAAGGAUAAAGAAAGUAAGGUGGGUUUAACCCGCGUAGAAUUCAAGUCCCCAGUGAAGUCGCCAUUUCUGUGCUCGUGAUUUUCGGAUGUCAAACCAUUAAUUGAUUCGAAUCGUCAAUCUUUGAACUCUCGAUUUUUAUUCGUGGGAAGGGAAAAAAUGAGUAAAAACCCUUAUCGAGACUUUGGAUUCGGGGGUUGGUUACGCAAAGGGAAGGUGCUAGCACCCUAAGCGUCUACGGUACUCCGUAGGAACCUCUUACCUAAUUUAUCUUGUGCUAAAUUGCUUUGCUUAUUUGAAGAGAUAAAAAUAAAAUUAGAUGGUGAGUUGAAAAGGAACGGAAAAUUGAUUUUUUAUUGGAGAGAAAAAAGAAAAUUGUUUUUUUAGUUGAUUUGGAAGGACAAGGUCCUCUGCCUACGUACCCGUGAGGGAUCAAAACCUCGUAGUUCGGGAUAGAAAUUGACGUUUGAUUUACUUUUGUAUUUUUUAAUUAGUUUUGAAAGAGGUUUUAAAAUAAAAAGCCAAGCGGCAAAUGAGAAUUUGUUUGUGUUUUUUAUAUUGAAAGAUAAUAGACUCAAAGUAGAAUUAAAAUUGAUUGAGAUUUGAUUAAGAAAGAAAAUAAAAGGAACGACCACUUGAUUUGAGAAUCAAGGUUUAUUAUAAAAAUGUUUUUGUGAUUUUUGAUAUUUGAAUGUUUUUGUUGUUUUGGCAUAGUAGAUGAAAAUUAGGCUAACAGAGCAAUAAAAAAUAAAAACAUAGGACCAGAGCACUCUGGAGAAUGAUUAAAUUAAACAAAAAUAUAAUAUUAACAGUUAAUAUAAGACCAGAGCACUCUGGAUUAAUUUUAUUAACAAGGACCAGAGCACUCUGGAUUAAUUUAAUUAACAAGGACCAGAAUACUCUGGAUUAAUUUAAUUAACAAGGACCAGAUCGUUCUGGAGAAUAAUUAAAUUAAACAUAAAUAUAAUAUUAACAGUUAAUAUAGGACCAGAGCACUCUGGAUUAAUUUAAUUAACAAGGACCAGAGCACUCUGGAUUAAUAGAGAGAAAAUUAAAAUGCAUGAAAAAGAAAUUAAAAAAAAUGAGAUGCUGGGGGGUAAGCAAGAAAUAAAAAGGGGUGCAGGAAUUAGAAAAGAGAAUUGGGCUUAAGAAAACUGAACCGGGUCGGUUCUACGGGUCGGUCCAUGGGUUGAACCAGUGAACACAUAUAUAAGGGUUGUGGGUCACAAAAAUUGCCAUUUUUCAUUGUUUUUCUCUCUCUUCUCUUAUUUCUAGAGAGAGAAGCUCUGCCUUCUCUCUAGAAUUUCUUCAUCUUCUCCGGUGGAGAGAUGGUGGCCGGAGGCGGUUCCGGCGCGGCGGCCGGCGAGUUCUCGCGGCGGCGCCACCGCGCCGGAGUUAAAAAUGUCUCCUUUUUUUAUUUUUUUCGUCCUCUCUCCUUCUUUUUACUCACUCUUUCUGAUUUUAAGCUCAAAAAUUAUUUUUACCAAGCAGUUUGACCUAGAUCUAAGGAAAGAAAUACUACCUUUUGGUAGAUCCGGUUUGGAUUCGAAACCGGUGGUGGUAUGGUUCGGAUUUGAUGAUUUGUUGCGCUAGGGUUAUGGUUUAUGAUGGUUUAGUGAUGGUAUUGUUUGGAGUGAUUUGUAGAUUUGGUGAUGGGGGUUUAUGGUACUGUGAUGUUAUUACGUGAGAUUGGGAAAGGUUUGUGAGAUUUUGUUGCAGUGGAAUUUUUUAUGAGUUUUCUCCUCCUUUUUUGCUGGUGGUUGUUGGUUGUAUUUAUAGAGCUGAGUUGAGCAGAAUUUUGUUGCUUGGAGAGGAACAUGACAGGCUGUUUUUUUGUGGCUUGGAGAGGAAGUGUGGCAAAGCUGUCGUGGCUUGGAGAGGAAGGGUGGCAAGCUGUUUUGGCUUGUGUUCCCUUUGGAUAAAAUUUUGACAAUAAUAAUAAUAAAAAUAAUAAAAUAAAAUAAAAAUACAAGGACUAAAGUGAAUCAAAAUGAGAUAAAAAAAAAGAUAAAAAUUUAAAACGGAUUUAAAAUUAAUAAAAGUUGAAAAUAAAAAUUAAAUGAAAAUUGAGAGAAGAGACCCGACUCGGAAUCAAAUAUGAGGUAUUUUAAAAUACCUAUCUGCUGAAUUUUUUGCUCGAAAGGCUGAGACCGGUCGGAGUUAAAUGACAUGUGUCACUAUUGUCUUAGGUCAAAAAUUGGGGUAUGACAAUAUAUGUCGGCGUGUGUUUUCACGUUUAGACUUUAUUACUCUUAAGUUUCCAUUGAAGCUAAAGACCUUUAGUAACCCUUAACCCAUCUUGGCCUUUUAGGACGUAGUGCGGUGGCUAACCGAGUGUUUUCUCGGAACUAGUCGACACGCGAUACUACACUCAAAUGAGACUUUCCUACGAACGUUUUUGGACCGAGUGUUUUCUCGGUAUCCGAUAAUAUUCGGAAGUGGUCGAGGACUUUGGGAACCUUGGUAGAACCCGUGAUACAGGUACAUUUGAAACCAUAGUCCUUACCAAAUGGCGUUGUUACCCUCGACUCCAACAUGUGGACUUAACAUCACCAUGUAUUCUAUGUACUUUAGCAUAACCAUGCAUACAUGCAUUCAUUCAUAAACAACUUUUUCCAUCAAAAAAUUGAAGGACUUAGACAAGUUUUUUUUUUUGCAAACAUCAUGGGUAUGGACUUUGUAAGAAUGAACACCAAGAGAUACAACUUCAAAAAAAUCUUAACUAAACUUUAGCUUUUGUUAAGAACUUUUUCUUUGGUUUCGAUCUUACCUUUUGAAAAAAGAACCUUUUGCAAUAUCUUCAUAAUUUUCAAAUGAAACCAUGUUUCUCUACCAUGUUUAAAAAUUAACUUUGAUAAGUCCUUCAAAAAAAAAAUAAUACAUUUUUGCAUACAUAUAUCAUGCAUCAUUUUUUUUCAUUCAUAGUUUCUAGUUUGUGUCUCAUACUGUAUCUUCUCCAUAAAAGGUCUAUCUGUCGGUCUAAUCGCAUCUACAACACUCGAGCAAAUCAGAAUGGAUCAUAUUGAACAAGAGAACCACAAGCUUCGUGAAGAGGUGACAACCCUCCGGACCGAGAAUGAGAUCUUAAGGAACUUAGUAUCUUUGAUGACGAUGGCACAAAGACAACCAUUAUCUCAUCCUAUUGUCAGCACUCAGGAUCAGACGGUUGCUUCCACUACCCCGAUUUCAACAGUGUUUGCUAGUAGUCCUCAACAUGCUAUGCUUGAAGGUUAUCUAUGGGGCACACCCUUUGGUUCUGGUGAAGUAUUUUGUCCUGAUGACUCUAAGGUUCAAGCUCCUUUUGUGCAACUGACAACGCCUAUCCCUCAACCGGGUCCUUUGUUCCCUCAAGCUGCUAUGAUUCAUACUACUCAGCAAGGCCAUAAACCAAUCUAUCGUUCAGGAAAUGUGGUUGCAUACGACCGGACAGCUGAACUGGAAGACAGGUUUGACAGAAUACAAUUGGAAUUGAAAACUCUUCGUGGGAAAGAACUGUUUGGGAAAAAUGCUUAUGAUCUUUGCUUGGUUCCCAAUGUCGUGAUACCACCCAAGUUCAAAGUCCCUAAUUUUGAGAAAUACCAAGGAAACUGUUGAAUAUUAGCACAGAAUCAAUCAGAUUUUGUGCUGUUUGACUUAUUAUAACUGGUUGUAAAUACUAAUUAAUUGUAAUUAGCUGUAUUAGAAUUAGAAUUUAAAGGGAGAAUAAGUAGCAUUUAUAGACAGAAUAAUUUGUUUUAUUUUCUGGCUAGAAUAGCACUCUGCCUACAGUCCCUUGUAUUCUAUAAAUACCUCCUAUGUACUGUUUUAUAUAUCAAUGAAAUAUAGAGCAUAUUUCCAUAUGGUAUCAGUGGCAGCAAGAAAUCCAUAGGGUUUAUUUUGCUUCCGUAUUUUUUUAUCCAUCCCACAUAAUGUCUGAUUCCAUGUCUGAUAGUGAGUCCCAGCAUUCACCCAAACAUUCUUCACCCAAUUCAGAUACCAUAUGGAAACCACCCUGUUCAGAUCACAACAAUUCGGCUGAACGGUGCUAAUUACUUUCGUUGGUCACAGUCUGUUCAAUUGUAUAUCAGGGGGAGAGGAAAGAUUGGCUAUAUCACUGGCGACAAGAAACAACCAGACAAGGUAGGCGCAGAUUAUGAUACAUGGGAUGCUGAAAAUUCCAUGGUCAUGACAUGGUUAGUCAAUUCUUUGACUGAAGAGAUAGGUGCGAACUAUCUCUGUUAUGCUACCGCAAAAGAUCUUUGGGAGAAUGUCUCUCAAAUGUACUCUGAUUUGGGAAACCAGUCCCAAAUUUACGAAUUAACUCUCCAGCUUGGAGAAAUUCGGCAAGCUGAAGAUUCAGUCACCAAAUACUUCGGUUGUCUCAAACGUAUUUGGCAAGAUUUGGAUCUCUUCAAUGAAUAUGAGUGGAAAUCACCUGAGGACUGCAAGCACUACCAGAAGAUGGUGGAUGUUAGCCGUGUCUUCAAAUUUCUUGCAGGUUUAAAUGUUGAGUUUGAUGAGGUUCGUGGCCGAAUUCUUGGUAGGAAUCCUAUCCCUCCAAUUGGUGAAGUCUUUGCGGAAGUGCGUCGCGAAGAGAGUCGUAGGCAAGUGAUGCUCGGAAAGAAGAAAGCUGCUGUCCCGCCACCAGUUGAAGGAUCUGCCUUGGCUGUUCCUCAAGUCAAUCACAAAUCUUUCCGUAACCCACGAGGUGGUGACAAAACUCAUUUAGUUUGCGACUAUUGUGGCCGCAAUCGUCACACCCAAGAAACUUGUUUCAAACUACAUGGUAGGCCAAACAAUAGCAAGGCUGGUAAGUUUGGUGACCGACCUAUGCCUACAACCAGCAAUGCUGCUUCAUCUCCAUUUACUAAGGAGCAGAUGGAUCACCUUCUUAAGCUUCUAAAGUUCAAUUCAUCCCCUAAUACUCCAAUUGGUACUGUGGCACAAACAGGUAAGGAUUCUUGGGCACUAUCUGUCCAAAACCACUCCAACCCCUGGAUAAUAGAUUCAGGGGCAUCUGAACACAUGACUAAUUGCUCUCAUCUAUUCAGUUCAUAUUUUCCUAGUUCAGGCUCUGAAAAAGUUAAGAUAGCUGAUGGUAGUUAUUCCAGUAUUGCAGGCAAAGGCAACAUAAAAAUUUCAGAGCAAAUCACUUUGCAAUCUGUUUUACAUGUUCCCAAAUUUGCUUGUAAUCUUCUAUCUGUUCAUAAACUGUCUGAGGACUCUAAUUGUUCUGUUCUUUUUUGUCGUUCUACUUGUGUUUUUCAGGACCAGAACUCGGGGAAGACGAUUGGAACUGCUAGAGAGAUUAAUGGACUGUACUACUUUGAUGAAACCCCUCUUGGCAAUACAGCAAUGUUUGGUUCAAGCCGUACGAGUCCACCUCUUGUUUCAAAUAAAAUCAUGUUAUGGCAUAAAAGAUUAGGUCAUCCUAGUUUUUCUUAUCUUAAGCAUUUGUUUCCUGAAUUUUCCAAAGAAAUAAGUUCUUCACAAUUUCAUUGUGAUGCUUGUCAUUUAGCUAAAGAUCAUCGUGUGUCUUUUAAUUCAAGAGGUUAUUCCGCUUCCAAACCUUUUUAUCUAAUUCAUAGUGAUGUUUGGGGUCCUUCAAAAAUUAAAACUUUAUCUAGAAAAAAAUGGUUUGUGACAUUUAUUGACGAUCACACACGGGUUUGUUGGGUUUACCUCAUGGAAAAGAAAUCAGAAGUUGAACAAAGGUUUCAAGAUUUUUUUAACAUGAUUAAAAAUCAAUUUCAUACCACGAUUGGCAUUCUAAGGUCUGACAAUGGCACUGAAUACUUCAACAAAUAUUUAAGUACAUUCCUAGUAACUAAUGGGAUAAUUCAUCAAUCCACUUGUCGUGAUACUCCACAACAAAAUGGUAUUGCUGAAAGAAAAAAUAGACAUCUCCUAGAAGUUACUAGAGCUAUUAUGUUUUCUAUGAAUGUACCUAAGUAUCUUUGGGGUAAUGCUUUAUUAACUGCUUGUCACCUCAUCAAUCGAAUGCCAUCCCGUGUGUUACAAUAUGAGACUCCCGUGCAGGUUUUACAAAAUAAUUUUCCCACUUCUCGCAUUAUUACAAAUAUUCCCCUUAAAGUUUUUGGUUGUCUCUGUUAUGUUUACAUCCCAAAUAUUUUUCGUUCCAAGUUGGACCCUAAAGCUGAAAAAUGUGUCUUUCUUGGCUAUGCUUCCAAUAAAAAGGGAUACAAAUGUUUUAACCCAGUUACAAAGAAAUUUUUUGAAAGUAUGGAUGUCCACUUUGUUGAAGAUCAACCUUUUUUUAGAGAAAAUUCUCUUCAGGGGGAGAGUCAGAGUAGUAAUGAGGAAGAUAAUUUUUGGGAAAUUUUACCAGUUCUUGAUGAUAUUGUAACAAAUGAUCAUCUAGAUGCUAAGAUAACAGAACCUAGAAAUCCUAACCUUGAAUUACUAGAACAUAUGGUAUUUGAAACAGGGGGAGAAGAGGGAGAAACACUGAUUAAGAAUCCUGAACUUAGAGUGUAUGUUCGGAAAAAAUUUCAUAAAGAUGGUACAAAUCCCAUUGUCUUUCCGGCAGAAGUUCAAUCGGAUUCUCCAAGUGAAGGUCCUACUGAUAAUCCAUCUUCUAGUUCCUCCGGUAAUUCUUCUCACUCAUCCAAUGAUUUACCUGAUUUGUCUUUUCCUGAUAUUAAUCUUCCGAUUGCUGUGAGAAAAAAUAUCCCUGACCUCAAUAUUCCUAUUGCUGAAAGAAAACGUACCCGUACAUGCACUAAACACCCCAUGUCUAAUUACUUGUCGUAUGACAAGUUAUCCCACAGUCACAAAGCAUAUGUGUCUAGGAUUUCUAAUUUGUUUGUGCCCAGAACUAUUCAGGAAGCAUUAGGUGAUCCGAAUUGGAAAUUAGCAGUGAAAGAAGAGAUGAAUGCUUUGAACAAAAAUAACACUUGGUGUAUCACUGAUCUACCUUAUGACAAAAAGGCAGUAGGAUGUAAGUGGGUCUUUACAGUGAAGUGCAAGGCUGAUGGAAGUGUGGAAAGAUACAAAGCAAGAUUAGUAGCAAAAGGAUUCACUCAAACUCAUGGUAUAGAUUAUCAGGAGACUUUUGCCCCGGUUGCUAAGAUCAAUUCCAUCAGAAUUCUUCUCUCUCUUGCAGUAAAUUUCAACUGGACCCUACAUCAAUAUGAUGUUAAAAACGCCUUCUUGAAUGGAGAAUUACAUGAAGAAGUGUAUAUGCGCUUACCUCCGGGAUUUGAAGAUAAGCUUGGAAGAGGUAAAGUUUGCAGAUUGAAGAAAUCCUUGUAUGGAUUAAAACAAUCGCCAAGGGCCUGGUUUGAGAGAUUUGGAAGUGUUGUCAAGGGACAUGGCUUCACUCAAAGUCAAGCUGAUCACACUAUGUUCUUCAAACACUCACGUGAAGGUAAGAUUGCCAUCUUAAUAGUGUAUGUUGAUGACAUUAUUAUGACAGGAGAUGAUAUUGGAGAGAUUAGUGAUCUAAAGAGAAGACUUGAGGCUGAGUUCGACAUCAAGGAUCUUGGAAAAUUAAAAUACUUUCUCGGUAUGGAGUUUGCAAGAUCGAAAGAAGGAAUUUUCCUCAACCAGCGGAAGUAUAUACUUGAUUUACUCACAGAGACAGGGAUGACAGGGUGUAAGGCAGCAGAAACACCAAUGGAUCCCAAUGUGAAACUAAAAUCAGUUGCUGAAGAUGAAAUAAUAGAUAGAGAACGCUAUCAACGGUUGGCUGGUAGGCUAAUUUAUUUGUCACAUACAAGGCCUGAUAUAGCAUUUGCUGUGAGCGUAAUAAGCCAAUUUAUGCAUGCACCAGGGCCAGCCCACUUUGAAGCUGUUUUCAGAAUAUUGAGAUAUUUAAAGGGAACUCCAGGAAAAGGGUUAAUGUUCAGAAACAGAGGGCAUAUACAGGUUGAAGCCUAUACAGAUGCUGACUGGGCAGGUAAUAUAAAUGAUCGGAGGUCUACAUCCGGAUAUUGUACCUUUGUAGGUGGAAACUUAGUUACAUGGAGGAGCAAAAAACAAAAUGUUGUAGCCAGGAGCAGUGCAGAGGCUGAAUUCCGAUCGGUGGCUCAUGGUUUUUGUGAAGUACUAUGGAUCAAAAAAUUCAUGCAAGAAUUGAAGAUUGCAGGCCCAACUCCAAUGAAAGUUUAUUGCGAUAAUAAGGCAGCUAUUUCUAUUGCUCAUAACCCUGUUCUACAUGAUAGAACGAAACAUGUUGAAGUGGACAAGCACUUUAUUAAAGAAAAAAUUGACAGUGGUGAGAUUUGUAUGUCUUAUAUACCUACCAAAAGUCAAGUAGCAGAUGUCCUCACAAAGAGCUUACCUAAGAGACAGUUCGAUGACAUGGUGUGCAAGCUUGCUAUGAAUGACAUAUUCAUGCCAGCUUGAGGGGGAGUGUUGAAUAUUAGCACAGAAUCAAUCAGAUUUUGUGCUGUUUGACUUAUUAUAACUGGUUGUAAAUACUAAUUAAUUGUAAUUAGCUGUAUUAGAAUUAGAAUUUAAAGGGAGAAUAAGUAGCAUUUAUAGACAGAAUAAUUUGUUUUAUUUUCUGGCUAGAAUAGCACUCUGCCUACAGUCCCUUGUAUUCUAUAAAUACCUCCUAUGUACUGUUUUAUAUAUCAAUGAAAUAUAGAGCAUAUUUCCAUAGAAACACUUGUCCUGAGCUUCAUUUGGUAAUGUACGUGAGAAAGAUGUCUGCUUAAGUAGGUAAUGAUGAGCUCCUUAUCCACUGUUUCCAAGAUAGUUUGACUGGUGCCGCACUGAUAUGGUAUAUGGGCCUACACAAGGUUGAUAUCAAAACUUUCAAUGAUUUGUGUGAGGCUUUCGUCCAGCGAUAUAACUACAACUUGCAUUUGGCCCCAAACAGAAAGGAACUGCAAGCCAUGACCAUGAAUGAUAAUGAAUCUUUCAAAGCUUAUGCCCAACGGUGGAGAGACGUCGCUGCACAGGUUCGUCCACCUCUAGAAGAGAAAGAAUUUACCGAGAUUUUCUUGGAGACUCUGGAUCAGUUCUAUUAUGAGCAUAUGCUUACAAGUGCAUCCGGCAGCUUCGUAAAUAUGAUGACUGUGGGCAUGCGUAUUGAAGAGUGGGUCCGAAAAGGACAAUUGGUCAAAGAAAGUGCUCCCACAGAUGAUUCUGAGUACGAAGAUCAGGAAAUGAGUGUGGUAGAAAGUCAGCCUCAACCACAGUAUCUGGCUUAUCACCCUGCUGCCGCUAUUAUGCCUAUCAUAAAUCCUGUUCAAAACUCGGGUUAUCAACCUCAGUUUCAACCAUAUCAACAACAGUAUCAACAACAACCUCGACAACAGGCUCCAAGAACUCAAAUUGAUCCUAUUCCUAUGAGGUAUGCAGAGUUGUUUCCAAGGUUGCUUGAAAGGAAUUUGAUCCAUACCAAGGCACCUCUCUCGGUGCCGGCAAUUUUGCCAGCAGGAUAUAGGGCUGACCUCUUUUGUGCCUUCCAUCAAGGGGCACCUGGUCACGAUAUUGAAGAAUGUUUUGCAUUUCAGAAGAUAGUUCAGAAAUUGAUUCGAAAAAACCUCAUACCUCUCGAAGAGUUUGAAUUUGAGUGUGUAAGUUAAUCCGAUAUCGGAUUUUGGUAUCUAAGGUUGACACAUGAGAUGUUUUAGCUGCAUUUGGGUCGCUGCUAAUGUUUUAUUUCUACUACUUUUUGUUCAAUUAAUAUGUUUGUUUGUUGCUUUAUGUUUUUCAAAAACAAAAAAAAAAACCUUUCCUCCCACCUGAGGCGAAAGUGAAUUUGUUUAGGGCUUUUUGCUUUAUGUAUUUUCAUCAUUAGUGAAAGGUCGCUUGAUCCCGACUUUGUUUUAUUUUGUGCUUUUUCUGGAAAAAUGGUAAUACAAAAAACCAAAAAAAAGAAUUUUUUUCUUUAAUCAUUUCCACAUAUCUGCAUAACCAUAAUGUUUAUAUCAAUAAUCAAAUCAUGCAUUAAUAAACCCGUUGAACACUUAAACCCUGUACUCUCGCUCGACUUUGAGUUCCUUGUAUCUGAGGCUGAAGAAGAGGAUGAUGAAGAAGUUUCCACUGAGAUUUCUCGCCUACUAGGGCAUCUUGGCCGUCGUAGCUACAAAUAUCAAGAGAGUUUGUCCAGAAGAGGACUUUCAUGUACAAAGACUGGCACGAGAUGCCACCAUUUGCCUUGCAAGGAUAUUGUACUUCAAGUGAACAUUUCAGCAGGGGCAACCCCCCCUCCAUCCCUCAGUAUACAACAUAAAGACAGUGCCUUACAUGAAGGUCAAAGUCCCGUCAAGCAAAAGGCACUGUCUUUAUGUUGUAUACUUCAAGCAAGGUUUUUCAUCAGAAGCAAAAUAUCUUCACCAGAAGCUGCAUUUGAUCCUUUAAUCAAACUGAAGAUUUAAAGUAGCUGGUUCUCCAUUCAGCCUUAUCUAAGAAGAACGAAGAAUUAAAAGGGAGGUAUCAACGGUCAUUUGGAGAGCUCUGAACAUUUGUCCUUCGUUAACAGAGUUGACAAAGUACAAGUGUACAACCACUACCUCCACUACUCUGUUUUGUCCACGCUACAAGACAAGACAACAGCUAUGCCUGCAGAAUAUGUGCCUUCAAGAUGGGAAUGAAUUUGAAGCUGAUUCUUCAAAGGACUACACCCAAAUCAGGCAAAGGAUUACUGGUGAUGAUUUAAGGAAUUCAAACGACUCUUUAGACAUGCUGAUUAUCUCAACGUCUCUUUCACGCCUCUAUAUAAAGGAGUGAAGACUUGAAGAUAGUAGACAGAGAUAUACAAGUUCAAAAGCGCCAAAACUCUGUCAAAUUGAUUCUACAAAGCACACAGAAUUUCUGCACUGAUUUGAUAAAUCUUAGAAAUUCAAAGUCUAGAGUCUUUACUGUAUUGUAUUGAGAACACCACUGAUUGUAUAUCAAGUGUUCAAGUCAAACUCAAUUGUCUGUAUUUUUGUUUGAUUAGAAGUCUCUUGCUUAGUGCUUGAGCAUUAGAAGUCUCUUGCUUAGUGCUUGAGCAGUGGAAGUCUCUUGCGUGUGUGCUUGAGCAUCUUUGUGAAGUCUCAUACUUUGAAAGUAUUGAGCAGUUGUAAUCUUGUUGAUUAUAGUGAAAUCUCCUUGGAAGUGCAAGGGGGACUGGACUACUUCCGUGUUGUGGAAGGAACCAGGAUAACUGCUUGUGUCUUUGUCUUUCUUUUCUCUACUCUGUUCUUUUCCGCUGCACAUCUAAUUCUGAUCAAUUCAUCAGAAGCACUCAUAAACUGCUUCUGAAGAUUUAUCUGAAGAAGAUUAUUUAAGAGAGAAAAAGAAAACACAAUUCAACCCCCCCUUCUUGUGUUUUUCUCACCUUCAAUAAGAAGCCGUUGCAAUUUCUAAUCUCGAAGUUGGAGGAGCACAACUAUACUUAUUACUCAAGAACACAACUUGAAAGUAAUACAAUUGAAGAUAUCUUUUGGGCUCAUCCAACAUCCAUUAAGUUGUUUAACAAUUUUCCAACGGUUUUGGUUAUGGACUCCACCUACAAGACCAACAUGUAUAGGAUGCAAAUGUUUGAGGUAGUUGGGGUCACUUCAACCGAUUUGACAUAUUCGGUUGGGUUUGGAUUUAUGACACAUGAGAAAGAGGAAAACUUUGUUUGGGUUUUAAAAAUGUUGCGUAAACUUCUUUCGUCAAAGAUGAAUAUGCCUAAGGUGAUUGUUACCGAUAGGGAUAUGUCUUUGAUGAAAGCGGUUGCACAUGUUUUUCCGGAAAGUUAUGCAAUGAAUUGUUACUUUCAUGUGCAAGCUAAUGUCAAACAAAGGUGUGUCUUAGAUUGUAAAUAUCCUUUGGGUUUUAAAAAGGAUGGGAAAGAGGUGAGCAAUCGCGAUGUGGUCAAGAAGAUAAUGAAGGCAUGGAAAGCUAUGGUUGAAUCGUCCACUCAACAGUUAUAUGCAAAUGCAUUAGUGGAGUUCAAAGAUUCAUGUAGUGAUUUCCCAAUUUUUGUAGAUUAUGUCAUGACCACCUUGAAUGAAGUGAAGGACAAAAUUGUGAGGGCAUGGACAGACCAUGUGUUGCAUCUUGGUUGCAGGACCACAAACAGGGUCGAAUCGACUCAUGCUUUAUUGAAGAAAUACUUGGACAAUAGUGUGGGUGAUUUGGGUACUUGUUGGGAGAAAAUACAUGACAUGUUGUUGCUUCAGUUCACUGCUAUAUAAACAUCCUUUGGUCAAAGCGUUUGCGUGUUGGAAAAUAGAUUCAAAGAUGUCACUUUGUACUCGGGUUAGGUGGUCAUGUGUCUAGAUAUGGUUUGGACAACAUUGCUUUGGAAGAGACACGUUGUAGGGAAACAUUGUGCAUGGACAAUGACAUUUGUGGUUGUGUUCAAAGGACAUCUUACGGGCUACCAUGUGCAUGCGAAAUUGCUACUAAGCUCCUUCAAGUGAAGCCAAUUUUAUUGGAUGAGAUAUGUAACACUCUAAUUUUUUUAUUUAAUUAUUUUUAAUUGUGUGGUGUCAUUAUGUGAUUUUUGGUGAUUAUUGUAGUGUAUAUAUAUUUAUUAUAUGAUUAUUUUAUUAAAUAAUUAAAAUAGGAGUAAAAUAUGAUUAAUUAGAAUUAUUUAGGAGGAUAAGGAUUAAUUGGAAAUUAAUAGUGAUUAGGAGGGGUUUAAUGAAAAAUAGGAGUUACACUUUGAAGGAAUAAGGAAAGAAAAAUAGAGAAAAACAGUUUAACGUACAAAACAUACAAGUUUUGGGAGAAAAGCCAAGUGCAAGGGAGAGAAGCUUAGGAAUCAAUUGCUGCUGUAUUUUUCUGCGAAUCUAAGGUAAGGGUGAGGUUUACCGCAAUUAUAUAGAUUCUGAAUGUUGAUUGUGUUCUAAUAGGUUUAUGUGAGGAUUUGGGAGAAAUUGGGUUUUGUUGAUUAAGGAGUUUUGAGUGUAGAAAUCAUAGAAUUGAGGGUAGAAAUGGGUUCUGGGUGCAUAAAACCUUUCAUUGCAUAUCUGUAAACUAAAUUGGGGAGUGAAUUGAGGAAAAAUGGAAUUUUGGGAAAAACCUGCAUUCUGCCCGUACUGAAGUUCAUCGCUCGCCUCGCGAGUAGCCAUUGCUCGCCAUAGCGAGUGAACAACUUCAUCGCUCGCCUCGCGAGUGAAUCAGCUCGCCAUGGCGAGUAGCCUUGUAAAAAUCUGGAUUUUGAAAACGUUGUUAUAAGCCGUAUUUUGGGUAGUUUCGUGUACCUAGAUGAUUUUUAAGAGGACUAGAGCAAGUUUUAAGUUUAAAAGAUGAUCAGGGAGCUUAGAAAUGAGGAUUUAGUGAGAAAAAUGUCAUUUUUCCCGAGAGUACCAUAUUUCUGUUCGCCUCGAGUUCGCCUCCAACUCGCCAUGGCGAGUAACUAUUUUUCUGAGCUCGCCAUAGCGAGCAGAGGAGCUCGCGAGGCGAGCUGCCCAGUAAUUGGUUGUUUAAUUUCUGAUGUUGUCUGAAUGGUUUAUUUGGUUGAAUUAUUGCAUGGCUUGUAUGCUGAUAAUGUAUUUACUUGGAUGUUUGAUUGGUUACAAUGAAUGGAUGCUGACUGAUUGAAUGUUGUAUUUAAAUAAAAUUCCUUAACGUUGUAAGUUGGUUGGUGAAACAUAUAUAUAUAUAUAUGUCUAGGUGGGUUGGUAUGUAGAUAUACAACAAGGGGAUUAGUUGCAUUAACAUAACAGUGGGAGAGCUUCGGCUCUGGAAUGCUUAGUCGUUCAAAGUGGUGGAGUACUAGUUACUCAAAGUGGUGUAGUGGUGAGGACUUAUGUCCUGUUGAGAAUGCUUUAACCAUUCGACAAAGGUGUGGGUCACGGCCCUGAUUUUUGGUACCACAUGCAUGGGUGUUUAGAGGAGUCUUAGUGGAGUAGUAAUAAGUUGCAUAUAUUGUUGAGAGGUGUAUGAGUUAAUAUUGUUGAUAAGAUGUAAAAAUGAUGUUGUGUAAGUAAUAUUAAUGUGGAUGAUUUAUGAUAGGGUGUUAGAUUCAAUUGAUGCAUUCUUUAUCUAUAUUUUGUUGUGAAUCUCACCCCUUCUGCUUGAAAAUGUUGCCCUUCCUAUGGGUAACUUGCAGGUGAUCCUGAGUAGUUGGUGGUGGCUCAUUGUGUCUAGGGCUCUGAUACGUGGGAUGGGAUUUCUUUGUUUAAAUUCAUUCUAUGUAUCAAAUUUUGGAUAUUUUAUGUUGUAGCCCUAUGAAUGAAGAAAUAUUUUAUGUUGUGGCUUAAUGCCAAGAUUAUUUUGGAUAAUGGAGUUUAAUUUAAAGAUUAUUCCGCUGCAGUUAAAUGAAGGAUGUUGUUAAAUAGUUUUAAUCUAUUUAAGAAUUUUAUAUUUUGAAGUGUGACAUACCGUUUGAUGUUGAAACUCUGAUUUUAUAUUAUAAUUAAAUUGAUUUUUGGGAAACGGGG